rnacentral:lncRNA from 1 species
UCCCACUUGACCAGCAAGUCAUUACUACAUGCACGGAGGGGCUGAGAGCGUGGGGGACUCAGGGGAGACCAGUUUGGCCACGGGGACCCCCCUAUCCGCCCCCAUGACCCCCCGGAUGGUAGUACUGUCGGACGGUGAAUCUGACACGGUGGGGGGUAGGUAAGGUGCCGCCGGCGAGGACGCGUUCCAGCAUGAACGUCGAGCCGCUGAUGCAAUACAUUACAUUCUCUGGCCAUCCAGACAACUGCACUGCCGCACACAAUGCCGCCGCCGUGUCUUCGGCCGGCGGCUCGCCGCGCAACCUAAUGCGUUCAGAGGCUCCCGAGCUCCUCUCAUUUGCGUAACUCUACGGUUGGCACAAGCUUGACAGGUUCACACCCCUGCUGCUUUAGCCUGUAGCUCCUGUAGCACCACCUUUAUGAGGCACGCCUCAUUUCCUCCACUCGUGCAGCGCUGCAAUCACACCUCUGCCAGCCUCGCCUGUCUCUGCUGCACAUUCACUGCCUUUCGGUCGUAUUUGCCCAUACCAUGCGCGCCUGCCAGUUCCAUUGUUCCAAUCAACACUCCUGAUGCUCAAGCCCUCCUCCGCUUUUCCGCAUUCGCUCCGUCACACAAGUCCCGCUUUAUCAUCUGUGCCUGCACAAUCUAUCCGGUAUUCAUCACCCCAUGGUUGGCUAGCCACUCAUCUACCCAGUGCUGCCCCCUCCUCGCUUCCGCUCGCAUAUCACCAUCCGCCUGCGCAGUUGUGCUCCCCCUCCCCUCCCGGCCUCCUGCUGUCGACUCUUGCGUCCUCCACAUGCUCGGCUGCUGCCCUCCAAUCCUGCUUCCUCUCUUCCCUGCCCGUGCCGUACCCUGCCCGCGCAUGCCUUUCCUCACCCUUCCCUCGCCCUCGCUCAUUGCACCUCACACGCCCUCACAUGCCCUCAGUUGCCCUCACACGCCCUCACUUGCCCUCCCCCCAGCCCUGCGGCGGGCCGUGCCGCCCCCACUCGAACACCAGCUCCGCCCCCGCCAGCACGGGGUGGCGGUGGCGGUGUGCCGCCCACAGGUCCGCCACGGCCGCGUAGAAGGCGGCGUGGUAGGCGUCCACAAGCGCCUGCGGACCAGGGGGAGGUGGUUAAAUUCCUAAUCAUUCAAGAAGUAAAGGCGUAACCAGGAACAGUAGUAUGGCAGACGUGUUGUUAGGGGAAGUUGUAAAUACCAGCCCAAAACUAAACCAUACCAAGCCAUUAGCGCAGCGCAAGGGGGGGGGGGGGGGCAGGGAUGCGGGCGAGGGAGAUGGGAGGUGGGAUGGGCAGGAGAUGCAAUAGAGGGCAGGAGGGGAGGGCAGAGGUGGAGAGGGCAGGUCGGAGGCCGCGUGCGGGUCCCGCGGGACCCGAAGGCAGGGGCGGCGGGCUUGGAAUGUGGGUCGGUUUGGCUGCUUUACGCGUGCAAGGCAAGCGAGGAAGCGCGGAGUGCAUGGGUGCGGGGCGCAUGGGUGCGGAGCGCAUGGGUGCGGAGCGCAUGGGUGCGGAGCGCAUGGGUGCGGAGUGCAUGGGUGCGGAGCGCGAGCGGCUGCAGGCAUGGGCCGUGCCCUACGGCAGUACGCACCUGCGGCACCACCACCGUCCCGCAGGCGGCUGAAGAUGACGACGCGGGCGGCGCCGCCCCCCGCUGGCCGCCUCCACCGCCGGCGCCGCCUCCACCUUGCCUCCGCCGCAAGCCAGCCGUCUUCUCGGCGGCGCCCUCGCCCCUCUUCCCCCCGUGCUUGCCUUCCACACAAUGCGUUGCCUUCUGCUGCUGCUGUUGUUGCUGCUGUUGCCGCUGCUGGUGUUGCGGCUGCUGCGGCUGCUGCCCCGCCGCUGCCAGCUGCCAGCGGCGCUCCGCGGCCCAGCCGGGGGGCGGUGCCAGGGGUUUGCCCAGCACGUACACCAGCGGGUUGCGCAGCGGCAGCGUGGUCACGCCCCACCUGCACGAGCGGAGGGAGGGAGGACGGUGUCGAUAUGAUGUUAAUAAUAUGUGUCGGUGUUGCUGCCGGAACUGGAAAAAUGGAUGGGGCUGGCUAAGUCACUGGCAUGUCACUGGGGACUCCUUACUCGGACACACGAACGGGCACAAGCAACUUGCCCCCAUGCCCCUGUCCCUAUUACAAACUUCUUCCGCCCCCACCUGCCAGCCAGGAUGAAUGGCACGGGGAAGCCCAGGCGCUUGUAGGUGGCCCGCUGCAGCUCGGGCGCGGAGAUGAGGUUUGCCAACUGCAAGAGCAAGGGCGGCGAGGUUGCAGAGUUGGCCGGGCGAAGGGAGGGCGGGGAGAACGGGACAGCGGGCGCGCGGGUGUGCUGGAGCAACCAGACCCUUUCCGACCACCGCCGCACCUGCAGCGUCUCGCCAAUGGCCAGCACCGGCACCAGCCAGGCUCCCUCCUCCAGCGCCAGACGCACAAAGCCCUGGCGGGGGAGGGGAGGGGCAGGCGGCAUUGGGGGCAGGCGGCAUCGGGGGCAGGCGACAGGCAGCGGGCAGAAAAUGAGAGGCGUAAGGAGCGAACCGUUGGUGGGGUGGACCGCAAGGCGGGGUGGGAGUCCAACGAGCACAUGCACGGGUUCAGGCGUGGCGUGUCAGUAACCCUGCGCCGAACCCGAAACGGCCGGAUCUGUUCGAGUCUCACACUUAAACCGUCACAGGCGCUGAGCGGGCAGGCCGCUGAGAGCCAAUGCUGAACAGUCAGGCACACACGCAGGCGCCCCCAUCAUCCCACCUGGUGGCCGGCGUAGAUGACCAGCUGGUGUGGCCGGGAGGAGCCGGGCGAGCGCGAGGGCGGCGGACAAGCCGGCGGCGCCUGCUGCUGUUGUUGCUGCUGCUGAUGAUGCGGCUGGCGGUCGCCCUUCUGGCCGUCCUGAUGGGAUAAGGAGGACAGGGACUCGGUCGAGGCGGAGGAGGCCACAAUGGCGGUCACACUGCCCGCAGCCACAACGCCGUCCUCGCCACCCGGGCCGCCGCCGCCGCCGCCGCCGCCGCCGCCGCCACCGCCGCCUGCAGUACCGGCCUGGCCCUCGCUGCUGUGUGGCCGCGCCGCAGCCACGUCGCCGGCACCGCCGCCGCCGCUGGCGCUACCGCGGACGCCGGCCUCUGCCCCACCCAUGACCUUGCUCGGCACCAUGGCGGCCGUGGCCGCGGCGGUUGCCGCGGCGGUUGCUGUGGCGGUUGCUGCGGCGGUUGCUGCGGCGGUUGCUGUGGCGGUUGCUGGCGCCGCACUCGCGGCCACUGCCGGCGCAGUCGCAGGUGCGGCCGUGGGCGCGGGCGGGUACGCGGACACCACUCGAGUGACCGAACCGGAGGGCGUGGUGCACGUGACCGUGCACGGCGGUGCCGGCAGCGGCGCCGCCGGCCCCGCACCGGCCCCACGCCGGCCCCCCAGCAUUGCCCACAGGCUGCGCAGCAGGCGCAGCAGCGGGCCCGCCGCGGGGCCGCCGGCCGCGGUGGUGAGCAGCUGCUGCAUCUGCUGCUGCACCUGCUGCUGCUGCACCUGCUGCUGCUGCUCCUGCUGGUGGUGCUUGUGGUAUUGCUGUUGUCGCGGGAAGGCUCUGUCGGCGUACACCAGCUCGGCCUGGCCGCCGGGGCACAGCAGCACGGCGCCGGCCUCGUGCAGCGCGCGCCGGAAGGUGGCGCGGGUCACCUGCGGGCAGCAGCGGGCGGGUGGGGGUUGUAGAUACCAGCCCAAACUAAACCGAAACAAGUUAAACUAGCUGAGCACACGCAGAGGCGUUAUUUGCAAGCGGUAAUACUUGAGGGAGGAAGGAGGAGGACGGGAGGGGAAGCGUGGACAUGGGAUGUGGUGUGGUGUGGGCGUUGGUAGACUCGAUAGUUUAGCAAGCGCUGGACGCGUAUCUCUUCAUACCAUCCCGCCCGGAACAAUCAGCUGUCACCCUUUCGUGGCCUACUUGUGGCCUGCCCCUUGCCUUGCCCUGCCCCACCCGCCGCCACCGCCCUCCCUCCCCGCCGCCCUCCGCCGCCGCCGUGCCUCACCUGUCGGAAUCCCGCCCAGCCCGCGAUGUCCCUCAGGCCGGGCGCGUAGUGCACGAUGUUGGCGGUGAGCGUGAGGAUGGACCUGCGGGGCCGGGGGAGGGGGGGGGGUUCAAUUCAUGGCUAGUUAAUGAAGUGGUAGUCGGUAGACCAUCUUGCGGAACAUCAAGCGGGCCGGGGGGGGGGCGGGUGCAGGGGUGCGGAGCAGCCAGGGCGGAUGCAGGUCGGUGGGGGCGAAUGCAGAUCGGUGGGCAGGCGAGGCAAGGCCCGGGCUUGUCAGGCAACGCCACGACGCCAAGCGCCUGCUCCGCAGUGCCCCGGCCACAGCCGAACUGCCUUGCCCGCACCCAGCCCAUCCAUCCCUCGCUCCUCAACUCCUUGACUGUUGGGACCUAGUCCUUCGGGCUCGGGCCAACCGCCCCGCACCCCCGCACACCCCCGCACCCCCGCGCCCGCCUCUCGCCCGCCGCACCUGCCCGGGAAGGCCGCCUGCACGGAGGGCAUGAGCGGCACGAAGCCCGCGCCGGUGGGGUACAGCCCGUGCGGGUGGAAGCCCAGCACAUAGCGCCGGGCCUCCUGCGGCUCCUCCUCCUGCUCCUCCGCCUCCUCCUCCUCCGGCUGCUUCUCCUCCGGUUCCCGCUGUUGCUCGCCGCCUGUGGCUUUGCUGCCCGCCUCUUCCUCGCGCGCCUCACUCUGCCCCUGUGCCCCUGCCUCUCCUCUCUCGUCCUCUCCUCUCUCCUCUUUCAGAUCGCUGGCCGCCGCCUCCUCCCCCGCCAGCUCCUUCUCCUUCACCCGCUGCCCCCUCCUCCUCCUCCUCCUCUGCCUCUGCCUCUGCUCCGCCAGCGCCUGCUCCGCCGCCUGGUCUGCGGUGCCGUCGAAGUCGCGCACCACCUCCAGCCGCCCCGCCCACCACGCCAGGCUGGACUCCACGUUGCGGCUGAACCAGGCGCACAGCCACGGCCAGCGCCGGCAGCCUGGAGCAGGGAGGCGAGGAGGUGGCGGGGAGGGAGGAGGAGGGGAGGGGUUACAAUCAUGAUAAAUUAAGGGGUAGCGGGAGUGGGAGUGGGGAGGGGAGGGACGGGAGGACAACGGCAGGGACGGGGGUGAAUGGAACGGCGAACUGGGGGAAACGGGGCUGGCAAUGCGUGGUCAUGCAGUGUGCUGUUGCAGGGAGGGUUAAACAAGCGGUGGUGCGGCGUGUGCGGGCGUACAGCACGGCGCGCUGCACAUGCCCUGCCGCGUACCGGUGUGUGCGGGGUGGCCGGGCAGGGUGAGGGCGAAGUAGGGCAGCAGCACGCCGGCCACGGCGGCGGCGGCGGCGCCGGGCGGCAGCAGCACGCAGGUUGCGGCCACGGCCGCCAGCGCGAUGUGCAGCGGCAGGUACAUGAGCACCACCGGCAUCACCAGGCCUGGCGGGGGGGGGCAGGGGGCAGGAGAGUAGGGGGCAGGGGGCAGGAGAGUAGGGGGCAGGGGGCAGGGGGCAGGAGAGAAGAGAAGGGGCGGGCGGGAGGGAGGCAGGGUCAGCAGGUGGGGUGUGGGCUGGGGUGGGGUUGACAACCAGCGGAUGCUUCAUGGCGGUUUAGACGGCAAGAGUGGCAGUUGCGGCGGCAUUGGAGCGUUGGAGGGGUUGGGCCGGCCGGCGUGCCAAGGUAUGCUGGUGCUCGAUGUUGAUGCAACCAACCCAAGGUGCUGACAAGUUGCUGCAGCGCCGAGGCAGCACCGGCCUGCGAGCUCGCAUACGCAUGACGCCCGCACGACAUUGCAGGCCGCCCGCGCCCCACCCCACCCUGCCCGCUCACCUGCGGCCCGCUCCAGCUCUGCGCGCGGGUUCCUCAGCGCCGGGCGCAGCAGCAGGCGGCGGGCGGCGCCGCGCUGCUGAUAGGUCAGGAUGGACAGGCCCAGCACCUGCAGCGGCAGCGGCGGCGGUGCAAGUGGCGGCGGUGGCGGUGGCGGUGGCGGUAGUGGCAAUGACAAUGGCUACGGCAGCAGCGUACACAACGGCACCCAGGCACCCAGGCAUGAGCAGUCGUUCAUUCCCCAGCUCGCCACGACACAGCAGCGCGAGUAGCCCCGAUGCAACAGCUCCAACCCAAGCCCCAUCCCACCCCACCCCACCCCACCCCACCCCACCCCACCCCACCCUACCCCACCCCCGCGCUUCACCCCCCCCACCACCACACACUCCACACGCUCCACACACCCACACACAGCCCCCACCCACCAGCUGCGUGGCCAUGAUGAGCGCCCCCGCCGCCAGCGCCCAGCAGCGCAGGCAGUAGCCCACGCCCGCCACCAGCUGCUUGGCCAGCAGCAGCACGCACACCACACUGGCCGAGAACAGCGUCCAGCCGAUGGCCUGUGCGCCGUGUUCAGAAAUGGCAAGAGGACAAGAGGAAAAUAAGAGAGACUCAGCGGUUGUUUGCGUGUGUGGUGGUGCGUUAGAAGACACGAGAUAGGGGAAACGCAGACUGUGUGUGUGCAUGUGUGCCCUCCAGCAGGGAGCUGCACCGGGUAGGCAGUGCGCAGCCAGCAGUACUGUGGUGGGGUGCGCAGGUGUGCUGCCGAUCCAGUCGCCAAGCCGCUCGUGCGUGCGCUAUGGCUAUGGGCCACCACUGCCGUCCAAGCCGUUGUGCCACAUUACUGCAGUUGUUGUACACGCGUGUUGCCCGCCGCACCUGCGUCGCCACGAACACCGACCCGCCCUGGAACGGCUGGAAGAAGCGCCAGCCGCGGUCCCCACUGCUGCUGCUGCUGCUCACGCCGCCGCCCUCCGCCUCCAUCUCCGCCUCCUCGCUGCCGGCAGGCGGGCGGCAGCCGCCGGCGCUGGUGCUGCCGCUGCUGCUGCGGCGUAUGGCGGCGCCGGCUGUGCGCGCCGCCCCCGCGGCCACGUGGCGCAGGUAGCCACCCAGGCCGUGGGUGCUGCUGGCGCCGAUGAACACACACGACAGCGCCAGGCAGCAGUACAGCACCCUGCACGGCGUGGCGUGGCAGUGGGCGCGGCGUGGUGUGGCGCGGCGGAGCUGGUUGGCGAGCCGACCCACAUCACACAGUCGACUGAAGGGCGCGUCCAUUCAAACAUAGGCUGCCCGCGCCCGUGCGCCUAUGCGUCACGAGCCCGCGAGUUCCCGAUGGCCACCAAGCUCUCGGGCCCCCGAUUGCCUCCCCCCCCUUGCCCCCCAAUGCCUCCGCCCACCCAGUGCCCACUGCCCGGCGCCGCCACACCUGGACUGCGUGUCGGGCAUGUGCUCCAGCGCCAGCAGCAGCAGGCAGCCCGUGACCGACAUGGCGCCGCCGCCCAGCCAGCACACCACGUGAGCCGCAGCGCGGGGGGCCAGAAGCUGUGAGGGGAUGGGGGUUAACAUUGAACCAAUCCCGUAAGGAAAUGGGGAUGGGGGGAUCAGGGGAGGGUUGUAGAUACCAGCCAAAACUAGAGGGCAGAGAGCUGGGCACGGGAGGCGGGAUGGGUCGCAAUUUGCGCACGGGAGCGUGGAGCGCGGCGUGCAUGGAAUGAAGGAGGCAGGGUCUGGAUGAGCGAGGGCAGCAGGCGAGGCCGGUGCAAGCAGGGAGGAAGCGGCGAGCCACACACCUGUUGAUGCUCGGAGGGCGCCAGGGAGCUCUCUAAAAGCAGCUGCUCGGCAUGCAGCACGCCGCCACCGCCUCCUCCAGCUGCGGAGCGGCCGCCGCUGCCAUCCGCGGCGACUGUACCGGUGGAGGCGGCGGCAGCCGUGUGUUGGCCCCGCCGCCCCUUCAGCGCGCUGAAGUUCCCGUUGACGACAGCGCCGUUGCAUUCUCCAUACUUCUCCCCUGGCACAUCACGAGUGCUGCCUUGACUGCGCCGUUUGCGUCCGGCGCUGGCAUCGAAGACCAGGAGCGCCUUGAUGAGAAACAGCUGCGACCACAGCCCUGACACCGCAGCAGCUCCCGACGCCGCAUCCAGGUGCAGCCCCAGCAGUCGGCGCGAGCCGAUAGGGCCGCCGCUAGCUCCUUCGCCGGUGAGGACUGAAUGCCAGGUGUGCAGCGAGAUGGCAGCGGACAGGAUCCACAGCGCCUGGUUCGACAGGAAGGGGGGCAGUCGCGGCGAUCAGUGGAACAUGGUCGCAGAAUGCUCCAACAGCGCGAAUUUCGGCUCUUUUCCAUGGGUUGAUGCCAGUGGCUUUCAGGCUCGCGGCAAGCCAGCAUCGCCAAGGCCAGCUUCGCGGGUGUGCAGCUGCGUCAGCUCCAUGAUGGGCAGCGAGAUUCCGACUCCAGGCCAAGUGCUCCGGCCGUGGCCGCUCUUACCCAGGCAAACACCUGGAACACGGUGUGGCGCUUGCCUCCGCUGAAGGGAAAAUAAAGGACUUGGCAAGGCAACCGCCCUCGUUUCGCGCUUUUCCCUAAGUUUCUGGCAACGUGUGCCGAAUACUCGAACGGAAACGCAAAGGUGAAGAUGGCACUUGCAAUUCUCGAUAAUGGCCCCAGCGCUGAGGGGAGCGCUGCGAUACAAGACAUCGGUCCGGGCGCUAGUCGUUGUGGGAUCCUAUAUACUUCCUUUGUGCUAACGAAUUCAGUACGCAGAUAGGGGUGGAUCGAAGAAUAUAUGUGCGGGGACUCCUGUGAAGGGCCGGGGGCGCGAAAUUUUUGGAGGGCGGGAUGGGCGCGUGUGCCAUUCAGACGAAACGACCUCUGGGUGGGUUGCGACCUUCCCUCAGACACCGCCUAUAGCACGUCACCAUAAUGCAGUAGGUACAUUGCCUUACAUAUCGUUCGUUAAUCAAGACCUUGCUAUAUAAGGAGUCGUUGCGCCAUGGAGAAGGCCACAGUCGUCUUUGUCCUGGGCGCCCCAGGAGUGAGUUAUGCACGAAGGAUUUGCAGCAAUCAGGUCUGGUGCUCACCUCUAAGCAUUUUGCUGACGCUCGCCAAUGCUUCCAAUUCUUUUUCAUUCACCCGGCCUGAACGAGUAGGCAGGAAAGGGGACGCAAUGCUCGAAUAUAUUGGCAAAGUAUCCUGGAUGGCAGCAUCUAUCAACUGGGGACUUGCUGCGGGCUGAGGUUAAGGCCGGCAGCGAGCUGGUAAGCACUGGUGCACGCGGCCCUGCAAGGAUUUAUUGCUGGUUGUUUGAUCCUGGUUCAUCAAUUCACUGUACGCGUGGCGGGCCAGCUUAAGCGCGUGACAGUUACUCGGCGCCGCUCACUACAGCGCUCGCCAUUGUCGCUUGGCCUCGUUCGACUGCAUUGCGACGCCCCCUGAGACUCCCUCGUUGUCCUGAAUGGCUGCAGGGCGAGCAGGCGCAGCAGUAUAUGGCGGAGGGUCAGAUGGUCCCAAGCGAGCUGCUCCUUGGUACGUGCAGUGUGUGUGUGGAAGGGUGGGGUGCACACAGGGCCUCGGCUGCCUCUUUGUGAUUCAGCCCUAAACCGCGUGCCUAAACCGUGAACUCUUUCUCUCCGGCUGCCUCUUUCCCUUUCUACCUUGAUGCUUCCAAUAGGCAUACUGUUCAACGCGAUGUCGGACAGCGGGGCCACGCGCUUCCUGGUGGACGGCUUCCCGCGGACGCUGGACCAGCUGAGGGACUUUGACAGCCAGGUACGGCUUGCUGCCACGGAGCUGAUUGGAUUAACAUUCGUGAUAGGCAGGCGGUCCUACGCUAGUGGGCACAGAGGAGAGUAGUGGGCGUGAUGCAUGAAGACACCAGAGCCAGUAGAGCACAGUUGGCAAUGAAGACGAGCGUGCAACAGGUCCGGGGCCGGGCCCACGCGGCACGCCAGGAGCGCGGAUCGCGGGAGGGCCUGAGGUUGUCCGUUACCCUGGAGUGUCACCGCCGCUCCCUUCCUCAGUACACGGUCGUGACGACGCUAAAAGCGACAUGCCUUGUGCGCAGAUCAAGCCGUGUGACGGCGUGCUGGUGUUCAGUGUGCCCGAGGACGUGGCGGUGGAGCGGCUGCUGGCGCGCGGCGCCACGUCGGGGCGGGCGGACGACAACGAGGACACCAUCCGCACCCGCAUGCAGGUGUUCCAGGAGGAGAGCCAGCCCGUCAUCGAUUACCUCCGGGACAGCGGCGUCAACGUGCACGAGGUGGGGCGGUGGCAGCUGCGGGCGGGGGGUCAGGGGUCGGGCGCGGUGUGGCGGCUGACGGUAUGGGAUGGCGCAGCUGCGCGCACCAGUGGCGGCCUGGGUAGGAUGCUGGCAGGUACACCCCGUCGCCAGCGCCUCACAGGCAGCCCACUGCCCUGCUGUCUGUCUGACGCCCUGCGGCCACUGCUGUACCUGCAACCCCAACACGCCGCCCGUCACCGCCACCGCCACCAACACCACCCUCACCACCAACACCACGCGCCCCCAGGUUGACGCCAGCUCGGAGUCGGAGGAGGUGUUUGCGGCGGUGGAGCCGUUCAUGGACGCCAUGGAGGCGGCGGGUGAGGAGCGCGGGCGGGAAGAGGGGUCGGGGGUGAGUGAGGAGGCAGGGGGUGCGGAGGGGCUUCGAGGAGGAAGGAGACGAGUUGGGCGGGUAACCUAAUAGCUGGUGAUGGGCAACUUACUGCAACAGGAAGGGCGAUACGGUGGUAGGCGGGCGUCUAACACCUCUGCCUAUUCGGUUGUUGGGGAGCGGCAGCGUCUAACACCGCUGCCCCGUGACCAUCCUACUGCAGCCGCGGAGAAGGAGGCUGCGGCCGGGGACGCCCCAGCCCCGCCGGCCGAUGCUGGCGCCGAGCCGGAGGCGGAAGCGGAGGCGGAGCAGCCGCCGGCGGCCGAGGAGGACGGCGAAGCCGCUGCCGCUGCCGAGGCCGCCGAUGCUGACGCGGACGCGGGCGCCGCUGCCGCGGACGCGGACGCGGACGCUGCCGCCGACGCCGACUCGGACCCCGCUGCCGCUGCCGAGGCCGAGGCCGCGCCCGCCCCUGCCGCGCCUGUCAAGGGCGCCGCGGCUGCUGACCUGGAGGAGGCGCUGGUGGUGUUUGUGCUGGGGGCGCCGGGCGCGGGCAAGGGCACGCAGUGCGACCUGAUCAAGGCGCGCCACGGCUGGGUGCACGUGUCCACGGGGGACCUGCUGCGGGCGGAGCUCAAGAGGGGCAGCGCCAUCGGGCAGCAGGUGGGCGGCGUGGGGAAUGUGUGUGUGUGGGUGGGUGGGUGGGUGGGUGGGUGGGUGGGUGGGUGGGUGGGUGGGUGGGUGGGUGGGUGGGUGGGUGUGGCGGGGCGGGGGUUAGCCGUUCACGUGGUGAAGGGAGUGUUGGAAUCAAAAGUAUGAAGUGCUGGGGGGGAUGCAGGGAGGGAGGGCAAGGCCUGCGCCGCUGGGGAGCGGGCCGUUGCAGUGCGGCAGCCGCAUUGAGCAACCGGCGGCUCAUGCCUGCCCGGUUCUCGGACUGCCCAGCCAAUCUGUCUUUCGCAGCUCACACACCAGACGGUUGCCAGCCCUCCUCUCCCGCCGCUACCCGGCCCAACCCCAACCCCAAGACUGACCUGCUGCAACGACCUGUCAACAUCACCUCGUCCUUAUUACGCAUGCAUGCAACCCCGAACAACCGUCCUCCGCAGGCCCAGGCGCUGAUGUCCGCCGGCCAGAUGGUGCCCACGGGCUUGGUGCUGGACCUGCUGCUGGCGGCCAUGCGGGCCACGCCGCCGCCGCGGCGCCGCUUCCUGGUGGACGGCUUCCCGCGCAAGCUGGAGCAGCUGCAGGUGGGUAGGGGCAGGUUAGGGGAGGGGGAGUGUGGGGGUUUUGGGGGGGGGAGGGGGUUGGGGGGGAGGGGGUUGGGGGGGAGGGGUUUCGGGGAGGGGGGUGGGGAGAGGGGAGAGGGGAGAGGGGAGGGGGGAGGGGGAGGGGGAGGGGGAGAGGGAGAGGGAGAGGGAGAGGGAGAGGGAGAGGUAAGAGGUUUGAAAGGGAGGGACAGGGACAGGGAGAGGGAGCUGGAUCAGGAGGGGCGGCGGGAAUUGGCACGCAAGGGCGGCGUCAUUGUAACGUCAAACCGCUGUUGAUGUUUUGCUGUCACGCCGCAGGAGUUCGAGGGCCGCAUCAAGCCGUGUGACGGCGUGCUGGUGUUCAGUGUGCCCGAGGACGUGGCUGUGGAGCGGCUGCUGGCGCGCGGCGCCACGUCGGGGCGGGCGGACGACAACGAGGACACCAUCCGCACCCGCAUGCAGGUGUUCCAGGAGGAGAGCCAGCCCGUCAUCGAGUUCCUGCGCGAGCAGGUGAGAGGGCGGCGCUCUCCCUGUCGCGGCGAUGCUGGUGGUGGUGGUGGUGGUGGUGGGGGUGGGGGGGGGGUGGUGUGGAGGAUGCGCCAGCGGCAGCGCCACCCAUUGCCGCCGCGCCUUGUGCAGUAAAAAGGCGUACAUCGCUCACAUCACACCCGCGACAGCAAAGCGUGCUACACAGUCACACGCGCCCGCACGCGCACGCCCCUCUUGUGUGUCCUCAGGGCGCCAACGUGGCUGAGAUCGAGGCCACUGGCGAGCCGGAGGAGAUCUUUGCGCAGGUGGCCACAUUCAUGGACAUGUUCGGGCCGCCGCUGGAGCUGCAGGAGCAACAGGAGGAGGGGGAGCAGCAGGAGGAGGAGGCGGAGCAGCAGCAGGAGCAGGGGGAGGAGGAGAAGGAGGGGGAGAGGGAGCAGCAGGGCGAGCAGGAGGGGGAGGAGCAGGCGGCUGCAGAGCAGGGCGAGCAGGCCGGCGAGGGCGAGGGCGAGGGCGAGGGAGGAUACAGUGCGGAGCAGCAGGCGGCGAUCUUGCGUAUCCAGGCGGCGGGUCGUGGCUACCUGGACCGCAAAAAGGUGGCGGCGUUGCGGGCAGAGAAGAUGGCGGAGGGUGCAUCAGCGGCGGAGGCCCAGGCAGAGGCGGAGGCGGAGGUGGCGGCGGAGGCGCAAGCGGAGGCGGAGGCGGAGGAGGCCGCCGCUGCUGCCGAGGCGGGCGAGGGAGCAUAUAGCGCGGAGCAGGAAGCGGCGAUACUUCGCAUCCAGGCCGCGGGUCGCGGGUACCUAGACCGCAAGAAGGUGGCGGCCCUUCGCGCCCAGAAGCAAGCGGAGGGCGCGCCAGCGGCGGAGGCGCAGGCGGAGGCGGAGGCCGAGGUGGCGGCGGAGGCGCUGGCCGACGCUGAGGAGGCUGCCAAGAAGGCGGGGGCGGAGGCCUACAGUGCGGAGCAGGAAGCCGCAAUCUUGCGUAUCCAGGCCGCCGGUCGUGGCUACCUAGACCGCAAAAAGGUGGCAGCGCUGCGGGCGGAGAAGAUGGCGGAGGGCGCAUCGGCGGCAGAGGCCGCGGCGGAAGCGGAGGCGGAGCUGCAGGCGGAGGCGGAGGCACAGCUGGCGGCGGCGGAGGAGGCGGCGGAGGAGGCGGCGGCGGAGGCCUACAGUGCGGAGCAGCAGGCGGCGGCGCUGCGCAUCCAGGCGGCGGGUCGCGGCUACCUGGACCGCAAGCGGGUGGCGGCGAUCAAGGCCGAGCGGGCGGCGGCGGGCAAGGCCGAGGCCCAGGCCCAGGCCGCGGAGUUUGAGGCGCGCAUGGAUGACCAGGUGGGUGGGGGGAGUGGAUGGCUGCAGGGAGAGGAGUCCUGGGGUCCUCAUAUUCCGACAACUGGCAGCCGCACGCGGCAUACUUGCUCUCGAUACCGCAACCGGUCCUAGCGAAGCCGCCGCACCGGCUUUGCCUGUCUGCACCCCAGCCCAUUGCUCUUCCCCAAGAAUGUUCUACCGUCUACCUACUUAACUGGUCAUGAAUGUGACCGCCCCCGGAUCUUACAACCCCCCCCCCCCAAACCCGCAGGUGGCCAACAUCCGCGGCAUGCUGGUGGUGUGCGGCCCCAGCGGCGUGGGCAAGGGCACGCUGAUCGGGCGGCUGAUGGCGGAGCACGGCGACAAGUUCGGCUUCAGCGUCAGCCACACCACUCGCGGGCCGCGCCCCGGCGAGCAGGACGGAGUGCACUACCACUUCACCGACAUGUGGGUGGUGCGGUGGUGGUGGUGGGGUGGUGGGGUGGUGGGGUGGGGACGGAAAAUGGGGUGGGGAGGGUUUGAGUUGGCGUGUUGUAGUGGUGAGGCUCGGACAUGUGGCGAGGGGUUGGGUUGGGCUCGGCUGUGGCCUGUGGGGAAUGCAAUGGUACACGUCCAGUGGGCAACAUGGACAAGGAGGCAUGCCCGGAUCUUUCGCUAACCAAUGACUUAUUGUGCAUGUGGGUUUCCGUGCAUUCUCCCGCUGCACACACACACACACACACACACACACGCACACACGCCGUCUGGGCGGGCUUCGUUUUGUUCUUUUUAUAACACACACACGAAUACCCACACAGGGCGUCCAUGACGAGCGAGGUGGAGUCAGGAAUGUUCCUGGAGCACGCAGCGGUGCACGGCAACAUGUACGGCACCAGCCUGGCGGCGGUGGCGGCGGUGGGGCGCGGCGGCCGCGUGGCGGUGCUGGACAUCGACGUGCAGGUGGGUUUGGUGCAUGUGGGUGAAGGUGGGUGGGUGGAUGGGUGGGUGGAUGGGUGGGUGGUGGGGUGCAGGGCAGGGGCCAAGCCGCAUGCAGCCCAGCGUGCUCAUCAGCCUUUCCCUCGCCUCGCCUCGCCUCGUCCUCACCGCAUCCUCUCUCCUUUAACUUCUCGCCACAACACACACACACACACACACACACACACACACACACACACACACACACACACACACACACACACACACAGACACACAGACACACUACGCACCAACCUACACACCCCACCCCACCCACCCUACCCUACCCACCCGAUACCCCACCCACCCUGCGCAGGGCGCCAGCCGGAUCAAGGCCUCCCGCGCCGCCGCCAAGGCCGUGUACGUGUUCGUGGACCCGCCCUCCAUGCAAGAGCUGGAGGCGCGGCUGCGCGGCCGAGGCACCGAGACGGAGGACAAGGUGGGGCGGCAGCGCCUGUGUGUGCAUGCGUGUGUACAUGUGUGUGUGUGUAUGUGUGUGUGUUCUCCUUCCCCCUCUACCUGCCCUGUCACCCGGUGCCCUACUCCUCCUCCUCCCUAACCACCCAACCUCCUCCUCCGCCUCCGCCUCCUCCUCCGCCUCCUCCUCAUUUCCACCCACCCCGCAGGUGCAGCUGCGCCUGAAGAACUCCACCGCCGAGAUCGAGCGCUCCCACGAGCCCGGCUUCUUCGACGCCCGCAUCGUCAAUGACGACCUGGACGCCGCCUACCACCGCUUCAAGCUCACCAUUGAGCGGCUGCUGCCAGGCACCUUCAAGCCCGCCGACCUGCGGCCGCCCUCAGCGGCCCGGCUGCCCACGCCGCCGUCGGCGCCGGCGCCGCCGCCCGCCGCCGCCGCGCCCCGCGCCGCCUCAACCUCGGUGAGCAACGAACGGCUGAGGGCGGACGGCUGAGCGUUAACCCAGACCCACUCACUCCAGUCCUCGCCCUCCCCUAACUUGGUAUGCCGGGCCGGGCAUACCUCCAUACCUCCUCGCUCCCACCCAGAGCGGUCUUAUCCUUCCCACCUGUAGCGCAACUCGACUGACCCUUCCCUGCCCCCGCCCCUUUACCUUUCCCUUCCCUUCCCUCGCUCUCCUCUCCCCUUCUUCCAGGCCCGCGCCGCCGCUCCUGCCCCUGCUACUGCCCCUGCCGCCGCUACUGCCGCCGCUACUGCCCACGCUGCUACUGCCGCCGCUCCUGCCCCUGCUGCUACUGCCGCCUCCUCCUCCUCCGCCUCCGCCUCCUCCUCCUCGCUGCCGGUGCGGCAGUACAUGGACGCCACGGUGGUGCCGGUGCUGCGGGAGGCCCUGCGCGCACUCAACGAGGAGCGCCCGGCAGACCCGCUGCAGGUGCGUGUGCGCGUGUGUGUGAUUGUGUGUGUGUGUGUGUGUGUGUGCGUGUGUAAUGUGUGUGCAUGUGUUAAAGAGCACAAGGAAAACAAAGCGCAAAGACAGUGUAUGCGAUGCAUGUGUGUGUGUAUGUGUGUGUUUGAGGACAGAAGGGAAGAAACACGUGUGCGUUUGUGUGUACCGUAUGUGUGUGUUAACGGGCUUACGAGAGGGCUGGGGAGUGCUAGGGAGCGAGGGGCACUCGCUGUCAUUGAAGCCACAGCUGCACAGUCUUUACGCCUGCCUACUUACAUACUCGUGCAGCUGAUGCCGGUGUAAAUGCUGGUGUUGGUGCUGAUGCUUUUACCCGUCUGCAUGUUCACGGUGCUUGUGCGCCAACGUGGUUGCCCACCUGCCGCCCAAGCCCACCCACUGCCGAGUACCGACCCACCCCGCCCAGCCAUCUCCCUGCCAUGGCUAUCCAACUUACCCCCUCCCCCGUCCCCCUGCCCUGCACCCCCCUGCCCGCCCCCCCCCUCCGCCCUGCCGUUUCGCAGUACCUGGCUGACUUCUUCCAGGAGGCCCGUGCGCACGGCGGCCGCCACCCACGCACCGGAGGCAACGGCAAGAUUGCGCACUGAGAGCAGCGCAGGUGCGAGCGCCCCGGCCCUGUGGCGCACGGCAGCAGGUGCUGAAAAGCAAGGAAGCAUUGCUGGGCAACUGGGUUGUGGCGGGCAGCCGCGCGAGUGUGUUGGGUGCUGUUGAGGGGCUGGGACGCAGGGGCGGCUCGGCUCGUAAUAACGUGGUGUUGGAGUCGGGUCGCGGCGUUGCGGCGUGUACAGGUCUGGGUCGCGAAACGUCUCGGAAUGGCGAAGGGCAAAGAAGGGCGUAGUACCGUGCGGGUUGUGUCCAGUUGUGUCGACGGCUUCGCGUGAGGAGUUUGCGACGCUUGAAGAGCUUUGUAUAAUCGCAUGAGGGAAGGUCUGCUUGGCGUGCUGAUGCCGUCGUGACGGCGGGCCAUUAAUGAAAGCGAGGGCCUUGCAAGUUUGGAUUGAGGCGGAUUCGGCCGACCGAAUGAUGAUGGAUGAAGGAAACAGUGCUCGCUUUGGCCCGUGCUGGUGGGGAUAGCCGGGCAACCACCUCCCCUGCCCGGCCCCUUCACCCCUUCCCCACGCCCCUUCCCUGUUGACGGGACGUCAGGCUGCCGCGGACAGUCGGCAGGUGGCGGCCUGAUUGCAACCGCACGUGUACUGCACGGCAUCGACAGCAUCUAGUAACGCGGACGUGACGUAAUGCAACUUCUUAAUCCGUACCAUGUAUAACGGCGUUUGGGGCGUGUGCAUUUUACCUUGUCAUGCGUGCUGCUGCGAUGCACGACGCACAUAACGCUGUGUAGUACCGAGGGGCUGCGGAUUGCACGGGCGGCUGCGUCUGACGGAAUGAGCAGUACAUCACUUGCAUGUCCUGUAUCACUUGCAUGUCCUGUAUCACUUGCAUGUCCUGUAUCACUUGCAUGUCCUGUAUAGUCCCGAAGAAUCGGAGUGCGGCGUGCCCCUGCGGAUGGACAGCUGUCCCGUCUUCAGGAUUCCGCAUCCGUCAGGGGCUAAAAGAAUGGUUUUGACGGUCUGAAACGUUGGUUGUGAACAGGGUGAGGGCACACAAUCUUGGCUGCGCGGUUAACGCACGGUGUAGCACCGCAUAACAAUGUAAGUCGGCAUGUUUCGGAAGUAAGGCCAACACACCAAUGCAGCCGCUCCGGAGCGUGAGGAGUACGCGUCAGCAAACUUCCAGCCAGCCAGCAACUCGUCGGUACAGUACCUCCGGCGUUUGCCCAGCCGCGCGCUCAUGCACUGCCGUUGCAAGUUGUUUGCCAUCUGCUGGGGUCUAGGAAUCACUGCACCCUACGAGACUUCACCAACCUGCCUUAACACUGCCCCAUCGCAAACCAACGCAGCCGCCCCGGUGCGGCAUUCAGGGAAAGCACAGAUGCACUCAACGUCCGCACGCAUUCGCAUUCCGCAAAGCAAGCAUCCUCGGUAGCGUGUGCAAAAUUGAAAGAUGGCAAAUACUAUCACUCCUACCAUCUACAGCAUCGGCGGCCUUUUUAGGUUCGACUGGUCUCGGGGUUAGCGGGGCCCUCGGGCUCCCCCCGCAGUCCAGGCGCCGCGCCCCACCAUUCGAUACCAUCUACGCGUCACACAGAACACCUGUGUUUGCAAAUGCUAGCAACUCGGCAACCCAGGUUACGGUACAUUCCGAUCACUUGUCCUGGCCCCACGGCCGGGCCCCAUGCAAGCCACAACGCCCUCCACAUCGCCGUAACGCCCGCAGUUGGCAAGCAACUGUUACCGACGCCGGCUUUCGCAAAGCAUGCAAAUCCGUACAUGCACGUCCCUCUAUCCACUCUUUACUUCUUUAUACAGUACCGUACAAUCGGCUGAUCACCGCCCAACCCCAAAAUGUUUACCUCAUCACAUGUUCCAUACCUUCCCAUGCAAGAUGCAUAAUUCAGCUUCAGACAACCACCUUGGAGACCUUGAUCAUCACGUGGUUUCAGCGCUAGCCAGCUCCAUUGAAUUUUCACUGGCGCACACAGCCCUGCUUGUGCCCCGCCGCCCAAUCGGCACGCUGGCACGCCGCACAACAGUACGACACUGCCCCACACCGCCCACAGCUCUUGACCUUCACACCUAGCUCGCUGUCCCCGGCCAGCCCCUCACACCACAUGUUGCCGCAGCGGGGCAGCUGCCGCCCCACCGCGCCGCCGGUCCGCACAGCGUCCGGCGGCGGCAGCUCAACCCAGCCAGCCGGCAUGGUCAGCACUGCUGCAGUCAACAUGCCCUCACGCUCUGCUUCACGCCUGGUGCCCUUGAUGAUCUGUUCGGCUGCUUCCCGCUCUGUGCGCCCCAUCCUGGCCGCCGCUGCCGCCCGUAGGUCCGCAUGUUUCCCACGCAUUGCCUCCACCAGCCCUGACCGGCCGUGGCGCCGCAGCAGUGCUGCCAAGCCCGAGCUGAACGGCAACGCCUCGGUCGCUGUCGUUGCGGCUGUGCCGCCUGCCUUGCCGCCGGCCUUGCCGCCCUUGCGACCGCCGCCGCCGCCCCCAGUGCUUCUACUGCUGCUGCUGCUGCUGUCCGGAGGGAACUUCUCCAGCGCCUGCUGCAUGAAGCGUUUGGGGUCCACUGCAAACAGCACCUCCAUCACAUCUAGAGCCAGAGGCAGCGCGUCCGCCGCCAUUGCCCGCGCCGCCGCUUCCUGCCGCUGCGCCGCCGAUAAGCCCGCUGCUGCUGAUGCCGCCCCUGCCCCGACGGCGGCUGCUCCUGCUGCGCGCUGGGCGUCCAUCGCGCACUUGGCAAAGCCCAACACUUGCGCGUGUGCGUCCACGGCGCACAAUAACUGAUUCCAGCUUGACUCGUUGGAGAGCACCGCCUCCGCCUCCGCAUCCAGCCCCAUCAGUCCCCUCAUUGCGAACCGCAUGCACCGGCGCCGCGCGACCAGGCACUGCCGCCCCAGCAGCAGCAGCCACCGCAGCACCACCACGUACGCCCGGUGCGGUAGCCACGCAAGCCAGCUAAGGGGGGCUGCCGGCAGGCUCAGGGUCGCGUCUCCCGCCGCACCCGGCAGCACCACAGGCAUCGUCACCAGCAGCCGCGGCAGCCAAUCCGCCGCCGCCAGCACCGCCAGCGCCUGCUGCUGCGCCUGCUGCGGCGAGGCGGGCGCCGGCGGGGCGCCGCCCAUCAUGCGGAGGAGCUGUUGCAGGUCGGGGCCCGGGCCCAGGUCCGCGGACAGACCCAGUAUGCGGCGGUUGGGCGGCGGCGGCGAGGGGUCGAACACGCCAAAGUCGUUGGCUGCCGAGUCGCCGCUGCUGCUGCUCAGGCCGGCGUUCAGGUGCAACGGCGGGGGCGGCUCCGCUACGGCUGCUGCCGCCGCCGACCCCGGUCCCGCACGCGCCUCCGCCCCUGCUGGCUGGGCCGCCCCUGCACCCGUGCCUGGCGCCUCCACCUCCGCCGCCCGCCAGCCGCAUUCCACCGGCAGCAGCUGCUCCAGCAACGCCAGCAGCUGCAGCCGCCACACCGCCCGCGGGUCGCCGUGGUAAGGCCGCAUCCCCGGCCUACUGGAAGACACCGCGCCCAACCACUGCGGCUCCACACGCCCCGCCCGCAUCGUGGCCUUGCCCAUGCUCGCAAUCAGCGCCGCCAGCUGCGUCGGGUCGCCGUGUGCCAGCAUUGCGGGGAAGGCGCCGGAGCGGCGCAGGGCCACGUCGACCGAGCCGCACAUGUCUUCGAGCCUGACCAGCUCUAUGGCCGACCCCCAUUCGCUCCUCGCCUGGUGCCGCAGCGCGGCCUCAAGCAGCGGAACCCAGCCCGCCUCCAGCGCACACUGAAGCGUGUACGGCGGCUGCGGCUGUGGCAGCGGCUGGGCUGCGGCUGCUGGUGCUGGCGGCGGCGGCGGGAUGUGGGGCAGAUGCUGCAGAAGCAAGCUGCCAUACGUAACGCGCGGCAGUACGUCAUAGCUACAGCCGAAUGUCUUGUAUACGUCGUGGCGCGCCCAGCCCGAGCGCACAAGCAGCCGCCACGUCGGCAGCAGGCGCCGUGACGUGGCCGUGGGCGGCAUUGCCGCCACGCACCGAGUCAGCAACACCAUCGCGGCCGAAAGCGAUUCGAUCCAAGUGCAGCGCGUGUGUGCCGUGUCAUCAAACCCCUCCGCCUCCCGCUCCUGUUUGUCGAAGAGUAGAAUGCGGCCAUCCACCGCCAACACCAGCUCACACAGCGUCAUCACGUGGUGGUGAAGCUGCGCCGCACAGGGCGUCGCGGGGUGCACCGCGCUCCUGCCACCCCUGUUGCUUGGGUCGCCGCCACUGCUAAAGCCGCUGCUGCUCAGGCCGCCACUGCUACCGGCUCUGCCGCCUGGGCCGCCGCUGCUCUUGCUGCCGCUGCCCACGGCUGGCAGCAGAAACCUCCAGGCGCGGUAGCCAAGAUCGAGGAUGCUGUUUAGGCUGUUUGCAUGCCUGUAAAGGGCCCUGACCAUUUUCGAUUCCCCAUUGUGUUGCUGUGACACCGCCACAUGCGCCGCCACCGCUGCCGGAAGGCCGUGCAGAUAUGCCGGACCUGCAGCAGCCUCCGCUUUGCAGCCAUUGCUGCCACCUCUGCUCGCUGGUCCUUCCUCGCCCACACCGCUGCUGCCGCCGGCUCUGCCUGCGCCACUGCUGCUGCUGCCGCCGCUACCUUCGUCCGCGGCCUGAACCCCUGCAAGCAUCCCAAGCGCCGCGCCCAUCACCGUCAGCGUCUGAACGCCGACGUACAGUUGCACCGCAGGACUUGCGAGUGAGGCCUGCAGCGCCGUCGCCAACGUCCGCGCCGCCUCGCGCUCCUUCCCCACCGCCCGUGCCGCAGCCCGCUCCUGCUGCUCCCGCUCCUGUUGCUGCGCCUGCUGCUGUGGCGUCUCUCCGGCCUGCUGCUGUGGCUGUGGCUGCGGCUGCCCGCUGCUAGCGCUGCUGCCGCCGCCGCCGCCGCCGCCGCCGCCGCCGCCGCCGCCGCCGCCCGGAGGCGUCACAAGGUGCCAGAGCACCACCGCAUCCCGGCAGACGCUCAACGGCAGGCCGGCAGACGCCCAGUCGUCGCCAAGACCCGGGCCGCGGCCGACACGCUCCGCCUGCGCCGCUUGAUUGCUAGCCGCCGUUAGGAAGCACCGCAGCCGUGUGUCUGUCUGGCCAAAUUUGACAGUAGCUGAUUCGAGCGGCCUGGCCUCAUUGCUGCCCGGGGCGCUCUGCUGCUGCUCCGCCGCCGCCGCCUCUGCCUGCGUCUCCGCCUCGGCCAGCGCUAGCCGCAGCCCACACGCGUGCUCCAGAAACCCGCAGCCAGCAAAUUGCCGCCACAGCGCCUGCUGACCUUCCUGACCCAAGGCCUCUCGCACAUGAUCCGCGUCAGCGAGAGGUUCCGCUAGGUAGAGGCAUAGAGAAAGCAAGGUGUGCGCCACCCAUAGUUGCAAGCUGCUUCCGUCAGCGUCGGCGCCGGCGGGCCCGUGCCGAGCCUGCUGGCGGAUGGGCGGCAGCAGCCGCCGAGCCGCUGCCAUGGCGCCACCCAAGCAACUCAGGGAGUCCAUCUCCACGACCGCGCGCACGGCGAGGGCCCACGCCUGCCGCACCUCAGCAGGCGGCAUGACCGGUGGCUCCACGUGCCCCGGGGGCCAGACCGUGCCCAGGAACUCAUGCAGCGCCACAGCGUGCGAGUGAAUUACCACCCAGAUGAUUUCGUCACAGGUGUCUGCGCUCGGGCCCGCGAGCCGGUCAAGCCAAAGCGCGGGCCAUCGCGACACCCAAGCCCAUGCCUCCAGCAGUCGUGUCACAAACUCGGGGUGGUGCACGAGCACAUAGUGCGCACAGCCGCUGUACCAGCUCCACUCUCCGGUACAUGAAGUGCAUAGCAAGGAUCGUAGCAAGCUUGGGUAAUCUCCGAGCUGCUCAACAUCUUGAGCCGUCGGCAGCGCCCCGGUGCUAUCUAGCCUACAUGCAAGAGCUAUAACGCGUUCAUAGUACUGCAAAGCUUCAGCAAGGCCUUCCUCAAAUUCGUCCACUCGCUCCGAGCUUGCGGUAAUUGCCUCGUAGUUCAGGUCCUCGUUCUCUUCCCAGUCCAUUUUUAGUAAUGCUUGGAGCACAUGAAUAAACACUACCAAGGCUGAGUUAUGCUAGGCCGAGGGUUUGAUCACAUCCGGUCGCCACACUCCGGGCCCUGGGCCCCAACGCUGAGCCCCCGAGCCGCCCCGAGGUAGUAGCAAUGUUCACUGGACCUAACCGGAAUACAACCAACGCUCGCCUGUGAUGGCUGAUGGUUUGGCCAUGGUGUUACAAAGGCACGUUGCGGACAUACAACACUGCUGCCCUUACGCUUUCAGGACAGACAUGCCGCUGGACUGCGUGCCGUCGCUGCGUCGCAGUUCAGCUUGUCACCGAUCACGCACAGCGCUCUGGCCGGCCCCGCCUACCAUCCAAUGCUGCAACUGGCUUCUUAAGGCGCGGGAUAUCCACGUGCAUGAUGACCGUGCUCUGAUACCGCAAACCGUCAGCGUCGGCCCGGGUAUAGCAUGGGCAAGGGGCAGGGUUACGUCGUGUGCAGCGUAUUCCCAGCCCAACAUGCAAUUUGCUGCGUCAAGGCAAGAUUGGUCCGGGCAGGUGCCGUGAUACGAUGAGUUUGCAGGUGUGUCUGUCAGGUCUGUCUAUGUCUGUUUGAUCGCAGGUUAGCCAUCUGGUAUCCAAUCAAGGAUGCUCAACAGUCAACACGGUGCCACAAUCGAUGCUUGCGCCGACGGCAGUCGUACAAUUCAGCACUGACUUACCUGACUCAAGGCCUCUUGCACUUACUCCACGUUAGCGAGAGGGCCCGCUAGAUGUGUCUGCUACAGGCCGUUAAAAGUAAUGGCAACCAGGGGGCGGUACCGCAUUGUUAUUGUUAAAAGGAUCGUCGAUAAAAGGGGGCCUCGUCUAGUUCGCAUUCGGCGAAACCCCACUCGCUCGGUGUCAACUGGGGGCUCGCCGGGCCCUUCAGCACUAACCGUACCUACCUUCUAUCUUCAACUCUGUCCUCCGCCAUCACCUCCGGAGACCCGCCGAGUCAUGCAGGUCAAGUGGCUCCGCACACAAACGCCCCGCCCGGUUGCCUACCCCUGCCAUCAAUUGAGACACCUCAACUGCUACCCUGAUAGCAGCCAGCCGUGCUAGCUGUGCCUUCAGACCGCCCUCCGUCCGCUCCGCAUUCUCUCAGCGCCUGCCUCAGUGCUCGUAUCUUUCAUGUACACUGUACAUCAACCGCAACCCAUCGACACACACGCAAAACCCAGCAGUGCCGCACCCAAUCCACGUACACAUGGCCCGUCAGGCAACUGUCUUGCCCAGGCCAACAUACUUGCACACGCAACGUCAGCGUGGGAGCCAGCAGACUUCAGAGUACGCCAAAAACUGAACAGCCAAACAGGUACUGGUACGGAAGCACAGCCGACUGACACGGGCAUAACCCCAGCCUAAUCCGUGCAACAACAGCUUCCGAGCAGCAAUGUGCAGGUCAUACAGUACACACACAGCACACUGUCUUUGCGCAAUGUUUUCCUUGUGCUCUUUAACACACAGCACACAUACCGUACGCACACGCACCCCUUCCGUCGCAAUCUCCAACCCAGGUCGCCGCCACGCACGUCACGCCGUCAUGGCGCCGCCGCCCUGCCACGCCGCCACACCCACCGCCACACCCACAGCCAUGCCCCCACACCCACACCCCACCCACGCCACCCCGGCCGCGCUACGCCUGCAGCGCCUCCGCCACCUGCUGCUGCCGCCGCGGCGGCAGCAGCUCCAUCGCUAGGGCCAGCAGCGGCGCCGUGUCGGCACCCGACCUCAGAGCGCGCAGCGUGUUGGCCGCUGCCACCCGCAGGUCCAGGUCCGCGAUGGGGUCACGAGGGCCGCCCUCACACGCGGCUCCCGCGGCGGCGGCGGCGGCAGCUGAGGCGGAGGCGGCGCCGCCGGACGGGUCGGCUGCGCCGCCGGUGACCAGCGCUGAGUCGGCUGCGGGCGUGCGGCUGCGGUUUAUGUGCGCGUCCAUGUGCGCUUGCUGCAGGUAGGAGAGCGGGGGGAGGGGUUUGGUGGCGGUGCGUGUCAGCAGUGCGGGCCGUGAGGGCUCAUAACGACCCGGUUGGGGCUUCCGGGACAGUCACGCGGUCCCUGCGCGCCAAGGGACUGGGACUGGGCCUGACAUGACUGCUCCCUCGGUCCCCAGCGCCGUGCGUCCUUGCGUCGCUGGCGCUUCUGAAGGUCAAAGGCCGCCUGCCCCUAACAGGUCUUCAAGCCCCCUGCCCCUAACAGGCCCCUAGACCGCCUGCCCCUAAGAGGUCUGUUGGCCUCCCGCCUUUAAGAGGUAUGUUGGCCUCCCGCCCCUAACAGGUCUGUUGGCCUCUCGCCCCUAACAGGUCUGUUGGCCUCUCGCCCCUAACAGGUAUGUUGGCCUCUCGCCCCUAACAGAUCUGUUGGCCUCUCGCCCCUAACAGGUCUGUUGGCCUCUCGCCCCUGCUCACCUCCUGCUGAUUUAUCCCCUUGCCCGACAGGCUCAGCGCAGUGGCGCUCUGCAAGGGGCAGUGGGCAACAGGCAACCACAAGUGGUUCCGGAAGGGCGUGUGGUGGCGAGGAGUGCUGGGCAGUGCAGGGCGGCAGUGCUUUCCACCAUGCCCAAAUAUAUAUACACACACAUACACACACACACACACACACACACACACACACACACACGCUUUCCCUGACCUGCAGGUCUGCAUCCUCCGCGGCCUCCUCGCUGCCCUCCUCAUCGUCCUCGUCAUCCUCCUCCUCAUCAUCAGCAAAGAAGGAUCCGUCCUCGUCGUCGUCGUCCUCGCCAGCAAAGGAACCGUCAUCGCCGCCCUGACAGUGCGAAGAAGUUGUGCGAGUGCAAAGAUGAUACCGGACACACACACACAUGCAUAGAGCCAGGAGGAUUGCCUUUCUUUGCAAGUCGUUGCUUACGACCCCUGAGCUGGCUCGCUACGCACAAGCACACACCCGCGCACGUCCGCGCACACGCACACCUGCGCCCAGGGCUGCUCCACCAGCAGCUCGGCCACCACCGCCACCAUCUUCACGGCCGCCGGGACCUGCAGGGCAGGAGCGGCAGCGGCAACAGCGGCAACAGCGGCGGGAAAGGGGUCAUCAGGAGGGGCAGGUUGCAGGGUGGCGGCGAUGUGCGGGGCGCGGCAAGUGCAGGAGCGGACGAAAUGGUGGUGGUGCCGCAGCUGGUGGUGCGGCUGGUGGUGUAGGAGCGGGAGGGGCGGGGUGCGGUGUUGCAGGGGGUUGUAGAUACCAGCCCAAGCUACACUAUACCCAAUGCAAAGGGGGUGUGGGGCGAUUUGGUGCCGCCGUGCCGGUGUGGCAGCACGUGGCAGGCAUGCAUGUGUAUGGCCCGUGACGAGCACGGGCCUGUCGCACGGGGCUGCCGUACCGGGCACUGCACAGGGAGCCACGAGAGCCCAAACACCUGCACAUGCCACUGCCGCGCCGGCUCCCUCCAGAUUGCUGCUUCGGGCCCCUUUCAUCACAGAGCUGUCAGCAAGCUCAAAAGCGAGCCACACGACUGCCCCUGCUUCUCCCGGAUUGCUGCUUGGGGCCUCCAGGCCACCCUGCAUGACCCCUACUGCAUUGGGUUUGGUUUAGGUUGGGCUGGUAUUUACAACCCCCCCUACUCCCUCCCUCUCCUCGGUCCCACCUGCGUCCACUGCUCGCCGCCCGCCGCCGCCGCCUGCUUCCGCGUCCUGACGCCGCCGGACAGGUCCUGCCGCCGGCCCCGCACCUGGCGGGCGGGGAACACACACACACACACACACACACACACACACACACACACACACACACACACACACACACACACACACACACACACACGGUCGGACUGCGGUGAGAGGCAGGCAGCUCCCGGUUCGCGAGAUGCGGCAGGGCGGCUCCAACCAAUGCAGGCACUCGCUGAGCAGAAGCCCCAUCAAGCCCACCACGUUGGUGCUCACCGCGACCACGCACGCGGUCCGCUGCCUGCCUUCCUCCCCCUCCCCCGUCCCUAUACCCCGCCCCCUCCGCUAUACCCCGCCCCGGCACCCCGCCCCUGCACCCCUCCCCGCUCUAACCCAGUCCCCAACACCCAUCCACCCGCCCGCCCUCGGCCUCCACCCCAGUCUGCUGCUGCUCUCCCUUCCCCCUCCCUGCCUCCCCCUCCCCUCCCUGCCUCCCCCUCCCCCUCCCCACCAUGACUGCCCCCAGCAGUGGGUGGCGGCUGCCCAACAGCUCCAACAGCGCCAGGCAGGCGGUCUUGGAGGCCAGCCGCCCGCGCACACAGCCCUGUGGGGAGUGGUGGUGGUGGUAGCGAGGAGGUGGUGGUGGUGGUGGUGGUGUUUGUGGUGGUGGUUGUGGUGGUGGUGGUUGUGGUGGUGGUUGUGGUGGCGUGCGGGCUAGCCGUCACGGUCAGCCGCCCAUGCAGAAACGAGUGGUUAGACGCUGGCAUGAAUGCUGACGUUGUAUUGCGCACGCAUGACCUUUGUGUAUGUCAUUUCGCAUGCGCUUGGCAAUUUUCAUAAGCACACAUGCAACACGUGCAGUCGCACCUGUCGCUCAAGCAUGAUCGGCAGCACUGCCUGCAGCGCACUGACGGUGGUGGUGGUGGGGGUGGUGGCGGCGGAGGAGGCGGCUUGCCCAUCUGUGAGAGCAACAGCACCAACCAAACAAUCAGCAUUGCUUCCGUGAGAAGGACUGACGACACUUCAUGGGCCGGGCCACAUGCGGCCGCGACAGGCCCAGCUGCAUCCCCCACAUAUCCACGCACACAAGCACGCACACUCCCAGCACACAAGCAUGCAGUCUCCCACACAAGCACGCACACUCCCAGCACACAAGCAUGCACUCUCCUAGACACGCACGCACGCGCCCAGACACGCACACUCCUAGACACGCACGCACUGAUCCGACGCCCCACCUGCCGCCCCCGCCGCCCCCGCUGCCCCAUUUGCCCCCGCUGCAGCCGCUGCCCCGCUGGUGCCGGCGGCGGGCAGCGCCAGCUGCAGGCCCGCCAGCGCGUCCACCCAGCCCGCCGCGCCGCCCGCCACUGCCAUGGCGCUCAGGGCGGUGAUCAGCCCGCCCACCUGCAGCGGGGGACAGCAGGCAAAGCGGGAGGAGGAUGAAAGGAUGGAUGGGGAGGGAGGCGGGUGGAGGGAGGGAGGGAGGGGCUCCAUGUGAGGUGGGGGCCAUGGCAUAGGGAACUUUUCUACCCAGUAUGUAGUGGGACGGACCGGGGGGGGCGUAGUGGAGGGUGAACGUGAGCCGGGCGAAGGCUGAUGUCGCGGCCACGCAGGUCGGUCCGCUGCAUGUGUGCGCGCAUACACCCGCCAUGUGAUCAUGGGGCAUGCCGCAUGCAGCAUGCGCGAAACAAACACGCAGACCCCCCCACACACACAGUCACACACACACACACACACACACACACACACACACACAGAGUCACACAGUCCGACAGUCACGCACACGCACACGCACCAGCGGGCUGAGGUUGCUGGCCGCCAGUUUGGCGGCGCAGGCUCCCAGCAGGGCGCCCAGCGCGGGCUGCUGCGCGGCGCGGGAGGGCAGGCAGGACACCAGCGCAUAGGCCAGGUCGCCUGCAGGCGGGUGGUGGGGGGGGGGUAGCCAUCCAUGGGAUGGUGUGUAUCAAAUAUGAAGUGAAGUGCCGACGUCCAGAGGGGGGGGGGGGUUUACAAUCAUGAUCAACUAAGAAGUGAAGGGGAGGUUACAUUCAUGAUUAGAACGGGGGGGCACGGGGCAGCAGACGCACAAACACAAAUUGGAAGCGCUGGCGCGCCACGGCGGCCUGCAAACCUUGGUGUCCUCAUUCCGUCAAGUGCACCGGCCCCACCCCCGCGCCUGCGCCCACUCCUACGCCCAGUCCCACACCCCCGCUGCCUCCAUCACUUCCGCACGCGCCCACCUGCCAGCGCCGUGGUGUACUCGUCCGCCCGGGGGUCCAGCAGCCGGUGGCACGAACCCAGCAGCGCCGCCCACACCCGGUCAGCAGCGGCGGCGGGAGACUCCGCCGCCGCGCCGCCCGCCGCCGCGCCGCCCGUCGCGGCCGCGCCUGGCGCCGGCGGCAGCGACGGUGCCGCCCACACCAGCGUCUCCUCCCGCCCCGCGCGCAGCUGCAGGGCAAAGGCCGCGGGUCGGGGGGAAGAGCGUAACACGCGAGCGGGGGUGGGGGUGCAGGUGGAGGGGGGUAGCGCUGGCGACGCGUGAAGUGCGGGGACGGGCGACCCCAUGUGCAUAUGGCACACCAGCGCACAGGACACAGCAAAACAAUACCUCAGCUUCACAACCAAGGCUCAGCAGCUGUCCGCCCCUUUAGGGGUAACCCAGCCUAGAGAUCCACGCACCCGAAUCCAGACCCAAACCCUCAAAAACCCGAAUCCAAAUCCCAAACCCUCUCCGGCGCCACGCCUCACCAGCUCUACCAGCAGCUCCGUGGCAGCGUGUGCCAGACCGCCACUGCUGUCGUCCGCCGCCGCCCACGCGCCGCCCGGCAGCAGCGCCAGCAGUGGGCCGGUGACGGCGCCCGCCGCCGCCGCCACCACCUCGCGCCGUCCUGGCCGCACCAGCCGGGCCAGCAGGCCCAGGCAGGCAGCCACCAGGCCGUCGGGCUGGGGGGGGGGGGGGGAGCGGGGGGAGAAGCAAGGUCAAGAUAUUGGGCACAGGAUACAAGCAGAGGGGCGUUCCUGUUGACAGUUCAUUAAGGAGUGAAUUUGUAGGGGGUCAGGGAGGAGAGUAGCAGUGAUGGCAGGAGAGCGUUGAUGAGGAGGAAGAGACAGAGGGAGAGGUUGUGGAGGGGUUAAUAGAAUAAACAUUGUACGUGUGCCUUGGGUGACAAUGCAGGGGGUCUCCCUUAACGCACAGCCGCUGCCUGAGGUCCCCCUUUCAUCACCCUUGCCUCCCACAACUCCCAGCCCUCGCCUCCUAUGCCGGGAGUACAUGACAGGGCGUCCCCCUGCACCCUGCACACAGCUGCUGCUUGAGUUGCCCUUUCGCAACCCUAGCCUCCCAGCUCCCAGCUCGCAGCUCCUAGCCCUCGCACGCUUUGGUUAAUGACUGCUACAAGUCUAGAACCCACCUGCUCCGCCGGCGCCCUCACCACCCCCGCCAGCACCGGCAGCGCCUGCGCCGCCAGCGGCCCCAGGCAGGCCGGCACUCUCGCCAACGCCGCCAGCACCUGCCAGGCGCGGACACAGAAUACACAACACACACAAGUAUACACAAGUGCACACGCACACACACACACACACACACACACACACACACACACACACACACACACACACACACACACAUACAGGAGCUUAAGUUCAAGCGGUGGUGGAUGCUGUACGGCAGUCCCCAAGGCCCAGCUUGGAUCGGCGUGUAGCUUGGCGCGCAACGGUACCUCCGCAAUGCCGUGUGUGGCGUUGCAUGUGGCUUUGCAUGACGCCGCUUAUAUGGCCUUGCACAUGGGUUUGCAUGACGCAGCUGAUGUGGCUUGGCUGCUGCUGCAGUGCCAAGUUGAGAGAUGCCACAUCCUCCCCGCCAACCCGCCACGCCACGCCACGCCACGCCCGUACGCACCUCCAGCGCUGACUCGGCGAUGAGGGGGUCUGACACGUGGCGGCUCCACACCGCCAGCACGGGCGGCGCCAGGGCCGGCAGCGCGCGGGCGGCGGCGGCGGGGUCAGCCUGCGAGGCGGGCAGCGGGCAGCGGGCAGCGGGUGGGGGUGGGGGGUGCGGGUGGGGGGUUGCAAGGAUGUUUAGGAAAGGACGGUACAGGAUGCAGUGUGGGUGGGGAGGGGGUGUUGCAAGCGCUCAAAGGCUCUGCGACAUCUACAUGGCCGCCCCCUCCCCCUCCUCCCCCUCCUCCUCCUCCACCUCCUCCUCCACCUCCUCCUCCCCCUCCUCCUCCNNNNNNNNNNNNNNNNNNNNNNNNNNNNNNNNNNNNNNNNNNNNNNNNNNNNNNNNNNNNNNNNNNNNNNNNNNNNNNNNNNNNNNNNNNNNNNNNNNNNNNNNNNNNNNNNNNNNNNNNNNNNNNNNNNNNNNNNNNNNNNNNNNNNNNNNNNNNNNNNNNNNNNNNNNNNNNNNNNNNNNNNNNNNNNNNNNNNNNNNNNNNNNNNNNNNNNNNNNNNNNNNNNNNNNNNNNNNNNNNNNNNNNNNNNNNNNNNNNNNNNNNNNNNNNNNNNNNNNNNNNNNNNNNNNNNNNNNNNNNNNNNNNNNNNNNNNNNNNNNNNNNNNNNNNNNNNNNNNNNNNNNNNNNNNNNNNNNNNNNNNNNNNNNNNNNNNNNNNNNNNNNNNNNNNNNNNNNNNNNNNNNNNNNNNNNNNNNNNNNNNNNNNNNNNNNNNNNNNNNNNNNNNNNNNNNNNNNNNNNNNNNNNNNNNNNNNNNNNNNNNNNNNNNNNNNNNNNNNNNNNNNNNNNNNNNNNNNNNNNNNNNNNNNNNNNNNNNNNNNNNNNNNNNNNNNNNNNNNNNNNNNNNNNNNNNNNNNNNNNNNNNNNNNNNNNNNNNNNNNNNNNNNNNNNNNNNNNNNNNNNNNNNNNNNNNNNNNNNNNNNNNNNNNNNNNNNNNNNNNNNAAGCCCUCCUCCUCCCCCUCAUCCUCCCCCUGCUCCCACCUUGAUCAGCGGCACCAGGCUCUCUAGCACCAGGUUGAGGCUGUCCUCGCCCGACACAGCCAGCAGAGCCACACAGCCGCCGUACAGGCAGUCGGACAGGCAGGCGCCGCCGGGGCUGGGGGCCGGGCGGGAGGCAGGGGUAAAGGGCGGGGGGCGGGGGGUUGUAAUGACCAGCCCAAGCUAAACCAAACCAAGGAGAAAUAGCGAAGCACAGGCAGAGGCGACAGGGGGGAAAAGGGGGGAAGGGAGGGAAGGGGGCAGACGCGAGAGGCAGGGAGGCGGCGCGUGCGGCCGGGAUAAAUUACGUGGUUUUGCCAGGCCCCACGAUGGCGCAGUGCGUGUGGUGUGUAGGCAAGCCGCCCUCCCCCCCGCUACUUCCACCUUGUCAACAGCCACACGUGCUCACCUGCCCGCGCCUUGCGGCCCCGGGCCGCUCAGCACCGCCGGCGGCACGCGCCCCACCAGACUGGCCAGCGCACGGCAGGCGCCUGCAGGGGUGCGGCAGGUGCGUGUGUGGGAGGAGCAGCGUGGGAGAGGUGUGGGCGAUGGAGCAGAGGCGCGGGACCAGGGGGCAGCAGCUAGGAAAACGUUCACCAACAACCCGCACCCAUACGGGCCACCCAUACGGGGCAAGCCCCGAGCCCUGCCCUGAGCCCUGAGCCCCGCCCUGCCCUGCCCCGCCCCGCCCCGAGCCCUGUCCUGCCCCGCCUCGCCCUGCCCCGCCCCGCCCUGCCCCGCCCCGCCCCAUCCCAUCCCGCCCUCAGCCCCGCCCUCAGCCCCGCUCACCAAUCUUGACGGGCGGCGGCAGGGUGCUGUUGAGCCCGGCCGCCGCCGCCUGCAGCAGCGCCGGCCGCUGGUCGGGCCGCAGCAGCGGCUGCAGGCGGGCGGCCAGCCACAGGGCGCGACCCACUAGCAGGGGGUUGCAGGCGCCGGCCUGGGGGGGGGGGGGGAGGGGAAGGGGGGUUACAUUCAUGAUUAGUUAAGAAGUGAAGGCGUAGGCAGGUACAGUAGCAUAGUGGGGGUGCGUGGGGAAUGGGGGUGGGGAGGGAGAAGGGAGAAGGGAGGGCAGGGGUUGGUGGGCUGGAGGGGGGUUGCGGGAUGAGGCAAUGGGAGCAGUGUAAGAGCAUGUGGGAGGAGGAGUUACAAUCAUGAUUGUUUAGGGGAGGGGGAACUGGAUGUGCCUGUCCAAACAAGGCACAACCCCUGCACACGCCCGCUUUGUUGCCUGUGAAAUUGCCCUGAUACCCUUCAACAAAGCGGGCGCCCCCUAUCCAUCCGUCCACCAGCCCACAGCCCCCAACCCACCACCCAACUCACCCCUCCCAUCCGCUCAGGCCCCAAUGCCCCCUCACCCCCAGCUCACCCUUAGGUCCAGCGCCACCACCUCAUCCAUCAGCCGCUGCAGCCGAGCCACCAGCGCACCCGCCGCCGCCCGCUGCCGCGCGCCGCCGCCGCCGCCUCCCCCCAUGCCGCCCAUGCCGCCGCCGCCGUCUUCGCCGGGCAGCCCGCCGGGGAAGGAGGCGGCGCAGCAGCCGGCCGCCAGCAGCGCAGCUUCUCGCAGCUUCCACCAUCCCGCCUGCGAGUUGGGCAAUGUUGGGAACAUGUUGAUAAGGAAGGCUAGGAAGCUGUGCCGAAGCUGGGUGGUUGGCUUGGCUGGAGUUGCGCGUGCUUGCAGCGCCACUGUGGUCAAGCCGCACACACAGACACACACACACACACACACGCACACACACACACACACACACACAACACACACACACACACACACACACACACACACACACACACAACACACACACACACACACACGCACACACACAGACACACACACACACACACACACACACAUACACACACACACACACACACAGCAUGUUAUUAUUUGUUUGCAGUCAAGACUCCUUCCUCUCUCACCUGCCCCGCCGCGCGUGCCGCCGCCGCCUCCGCCGCGCGGCGCUCCACAGCAUCCAUCAGCGCCCCCGCUGCGUCCAGCCCGAACGCCUGAGGCGAGCGAGAGGGGGGAGUUACAUUCAUGAUUAGCUAAGAUAGCACGCUGCACACGUACGCGGUGUACACACACGCACGAAUACCUCCCUUUCCUUGAGCCCCACCAAAUAUGCCCAACGCAAUGAGUCACGACACAGACAUGCCGUACACGAUAUCCGCCGUAUCCUGUACGCGCCCCAUUCUCUGGCACUUGACAUGGGAGUAGAAACCCAGCCCCAGCUUCCAAUAUCCCUUCACCCAGCCCCCAACCCCAAAACUCCCCUCACGGCCUGAGGCCCUCGCGGCCUCCCCACCCCUCCUGCCCCCUCCUGACUCCUCCCCCCUUCUUUCUACCGGUUUGCGGGAUGUUUCGCUGGGAACCUGGGAACUCGGUGCAUUUCGGGAAUGGGGACUACUGUCGCGUGCCACUCAGUUGUCAAGCAUCGGCCACGCUCUCCUCCUCGCUCUAUUGCAUUGGGUUUGGUUUAGUUUGGGCUGGUAUUUACAAACCCCCCCCCCCUCACACACAUUUCCCCCCUCCUCCCGCCCCCCCUCCUCCCGCCCCCUCCCCCCCUCACCUGCAUGAGGCUGUCCGCCAGCAGCUCUCCGCUGACUCGCACCGUGAACAUGGAGUCAUCCUCGUCCGCCACGUAGGCGGCGGCGUCGGCGGCCCAGUCGGCGGCCUGGCGGCUGGUCAUCUGAGGCGGGAGGGAGGCAGGGAGGGAGGGAGGGAGGGAGGCAGGGAGGCAGACGGGUGGGAGGGAGGAGGAGAGUAGGAGAGGGGGUGUUGGUAAGAUGAGAGUUGACGCUGAUGCCACACGAUACUAUGACCAACCAAACGCCCAUAAGUAGCUCCGGCGGGCCCUGUUCCGUUGGUGUUCAGAUACACACACACACGCACGCACGCCCGCACCUGCAUGUACGCCACAGCCAGGUGCGCCAUCUCGGGCAGUGCCGGCUUUAUGAGCUUGGCAUACCUGUGUGUGUGGGAGGAGAAUAACAAUACGGCGACGCAGAACCAGAGCGCGGGGGUAGUCGUUCAUGAAGAAAGCAGCAAGCGAUUCAAACUCUCCGACCCGCGCCCUCCUCACCAGUGCGCCGCACCCCUGCCCAUUGCCCCAUUGCCCCCCCCCCGCCACUUCGUAAGCAGUCUUCAGUGCAUCCUGUACCGCUUUCCCAAUCAUUUGUGCAGGCCCCCACUGCAUUGGGUUCAAUUUACUUUGGGCUGGUGUUCUACAACCCCCGCCUGUCCUCACCUGUGCAGUCCCACCAGCGCCAUCAGCAGUUCAAACAGCUGCGCCAACAGCGACUCCGGGUCCAGCGUAUUUCCCUCCGCGUCCACCGCAGCGCCGCCGCCGUCGGCAGUAGCAGCAGCAGCAGCGGCUGUAGCAGCGGCUGUAGCACUGCCGGGGGUGGUGGCAGUAGCAGCAGCUGCGGAGGCGCCGGCCGGGUCCUCGGUGGGGUCGGGCGCCUGGCCGCCCUCCGCGGGCGUAAGCACCAGGUGCGUCUGAGGGCGGGGCGGGGAAAAACUUUGAACCAAUCCCGAAAGGAAACAGUCGCGCUGCAAGAAGAAACUGCAGUCGUGGUACAUCACCAUAGGGGCGGGGACAGGGCAAGUGCGUUAGGCAACACAAGGAAGCGCAAGGGCAAGCGUGUGUGUGUAGGUGGGCGUGCGUGCAAGACGCAGCGGACAGGGUGCUCAAUUUUGAAGCCUCGUGCAGACGUCACACCCACGCGCCACGCUUUCACCCUUGCGCCCAUCCGCCCUUUUUCGGUCGGCAAUGCUUUAGUUUGGGCUGGUAUUUACAACCCCCGCACCUCACCCCUUACCCCUUACUCCCGCCUCCCGCCCCUCCUCACCCCCGCCCCCCCUCACCCUCGCCCCCGCCUCCCGCUCCGCCCGCUCCCACCCUCCGCCUCCCAGCCCCCACCCCUCUCACCGUGUACAGGGGCAGGGACUGUGUGUACAUGCGCCAGCACGCGCCCAUGAUGCUCUGCGGGGGGGAGCAGGAGGGGGGGGACGGGGGGAAAAGCGGGGGGGGGCGACAACAUUACAGGGAUAAAAGUAUGAAACCACCUUAGUGCGGACACGUGCGGGCGGGUCAAAGCGGCAGGCAGGCAGGCAGGCAGGCAGGCAGGCAGGCAGGCAGGUCAGAUGUCCAUUUCAUGAUACGCAGCUGCGAUUACCACAAGCAUAGCGUUGAGCGCCCGCCCGGCACCCGCACACACGCUCAACACACAGCACUGGCAGCAGCCGCGCACGUGUCCCCCAUCCGCACCUGCAUGUGCGCCUGCAGCGGCUUGCUGAAGAACGACACCAGCUGCGUCAGGCAGCGCAGGCACAGCAUGCGGGUAGACCAGCUGGCAGCGUCCUGUGUGUGCGCGCGUGGCGUGGCGGGUGUUGCAAAGAGCACAAGCGAGGUUUGUGUGGGGUCGGGGUUGGUUGGUUGUUGGGGGUUGGUCGUUGGCACCGUGCCCAAUGAGAGGCGAGAGACGCGAGGACGGGGGUUGGGGCUGGGGGUCGGGUACCGCGUGUGUGCAACGGACAAGCUUGGCACGUGUCCCCGUGGGAUGGGGGCUGCCGGUACCAUCGCCCGCUGCUGCGGCCCUACUAUGGGCAACCCCUCCUUCCCACCGUACUGUACGGCGCUGAUCCCCUCCACGCGCAGCUCCACUCCUCACCCCGGCCACGCUCUCCUCACCCCACGGCCACGCUCUCCUCCUCGCUCUUUUGCAUUGUCGGUUCGGUUUAGCUUGGGCUGGUGUCUACGACCCCCCUCCCCCCCCGUACCUCUACUCUGACCCCUCCCGCCCCUCACAUCUCCCGCCCCUCACACGCCUCCCGCCCCUCACCUCCUCCACUCAUCACCCCCCCCCCGCCCCUCACCUCCUCCACUCCUUAACCCCCCUCCCACCCCUCCCGCCCCUUACCCCCCUCCCCCGCCCCUCCCCCUCACCUCCACGUCCAGCGGCGCCGCCACCUGCGCGCACAGCAGCGGCAGCCACGGCUCCACCAGCGGAACCAGCAGGUCGCGAACCUGGAGAGGGAGGGCAGGUGAGGGUGGGAGGGGGGUGGGCAGGUAGGGGGGUUACAUUCAUGAUUACUUGAGAAGUGAAGGCGUAGCCAGGUGGGGGAGGGGGCAGAGAUGGGGAUGUAAAUCCCAGUCCAGGCUAAACCAAACCGGGGGGGGGGGCGGGGAAAGAGGCGGGGAGGAAAGGGAAGUUGGGUUAGCCGGGGGUGGAGGGAGCCCGCAGCAGUGGGGCAACAGCGAAAUGGGUCCCAGGCAGCAGCCGGGUCGGGCCCACGGGUUGAGCCCUUGCCCUCAACCCACCCGUGGUUCUCGGUACGAACACCCCAUCCAACCCCAUCCCAUCCCACCCCCACCACCCCACACACACACCCCCCCCACCCUCCCCCCCCACUCCCUCCCACACCCCACCCUCCCACCUGGCGCUGGUACACGCCCGCCAUGACGCCCAGGCUCUUGAGCAGGUCGCACAGGAUGGACAGCGCCGCCGCGCGCAGCUCCUCAGUGCCCGGCGAGGCGUCCGAGGCAACAGCCAGCAGCUCCGGCAGCAGCGCCUGGGCAACCUGCAUGCGCGCAUAAGCAUGUGUGCGUGUGUUACAUUGCUAAUGUGUGUGUGUGUGUGUGUGUGUGUGUGUGUGUGUGCUAGAGGAAGGCGCAAGGGUGAGGGUUCGACAAUGUGCGUGUGUGUAUGGAUUGGGGGGAGGGUUGUGGUGUGUUGGGCGGUGCUGAAGGAAGCGCGCGGGUCCCCGCGGUCUGGGCUACCCAUAUUCCAUCCAUGCUUGCCACCACCCCCGCCGCAAGCCCCGCCCCCGCAGCAUACACUACCCGGCAGCAGCUUCCUAGCCCCCCCCCCCAUCCCACGCACAACAGCAAACCCCCCAGUAGCAAGCCGACCGGAUGCGGGGCGUGUGCACGUGUGCGUGUCCCAAAACCCGCAUGGGCACAUGGGUCAGGCCGCCCGCCCGCCCAACCGCUCCACACACUCCACACCAGGCCUCGGCCGUACGUCCCCUCUCCCCCCUGCCCCCUCCCCCCUUGCGCCUGCUUGCCUGCGGCAGCUGCUGCUCGUCUAUGUCAUCGCUGAGGAGCGCCAGGCAGCGGAUAGCGCCAUGCACGAGUGCCUUGUUGGUGGCGCGCUGGGUGUGAAUGGCGCCGACUAGAUUCUCCACCAGCCCCGACCAGCCGUCCGGGUCGCUCUUCGCGAUGGCCGCGAUGCACAUCGCGACUGCUGUCCGGAGCUUUGAGCUCUCUUGCGCCAGGCCAGCGGGCAGCACAGCUUUGAUGUGGGCCCGCUCGUUGGCGGACAGCUCCGGCGCCUCGAAUUUUGGUGCCUCCGCCGACCAGUGCUUCUUUAUGACCUGCUUCAAGAUCACGGCUGCUAGCUGGCGCACGCCCAGGUCGUCUGAUAUUCGGCCAUCCGUGCUCAGCGUGGCGAGCAGCGACGUAUAGCCCUCGUGGCCAAUUGCUGCCUGAAGUUGCUGCUCCGAGGUAUUCCGCGCAUCUGUGUCAAUUGAAUAAACUAAUGUGUGCAGGCAGCGCAACACAUGUUGUGUCGCCUCCGAGGCGCCAGCCGCCAUCCUAUUCUAUUCACGUAAUCAGUAUACUAUAUUAACUAUGGCCACAAUAAGGAGCCGGUCAACGUAAAUUGGGCGCUGUAGUCGGAAGGCUUCUUCACUGUGCGCAUGCAAGAGUUCGCUGGAAAUAAUCAAACUAAAUAUAGUUAAUAUGUUAAUAUCAGUGGCGAGCAAAACAAACACUGUCUUGAGAAGUUGAGAUUGGUUCCCCGAAUCCAUAGUGCAGCUGUCGGCUAUCGUAUCCACCUGUCGUCCAUUCGCAAACGAGGCCGAGAACCUCCCCGAUAAUUGGCGACAGUGUCCGAAAACUAGUGCGCAAGGCAGAGUGCUCUUGUUUUAAGGAGCCAUGACGCAGAAGCCGAUGCGCGCGCCUGGUAGUGCGAACGGACGUCGCAGGCCUUUCGCACAUAGCGUCCGCAGGGACCGUACCAUGUGCCGCUGCUGCUGCUGCUGCUUAACGCCCCCGUGUUGACACUGUGCAUAUAAUGUGAGUAUGUGGGCUUUGCAGCAGUUCAGCAGCAUCCGCUUGCCUGCUCAGGCGCUUGAGCCCGCCGGCAUGCCAUGCCACCCAGCCCCGGACGUCAUUGCUUACGCACCCCUCCCUUUCCCUGCUGCACUGCGUGACACACGCUUGCCAGGGCAAUCACCAGCAGAUAUUUCAGGCCUCGUACACACGUACACACACACCUCAAUCUGCUGCUGCCCACCGACCUGCUGGGAGCGAGCGAGCCCACAGCAGCAGCAGGCCUCGUCUGACCAGCGCGAGCUAGCUCGCACGUGCCACAACACGCUACUGCUCCCUGACUGCUCCCCUCCACGUGCCGCUUCAUCACUGCUACCUUUACCGCGGCUAUAUACCUGCCAGCACUUUACCUGCAGGCCAGUCACGCACACGCACCGCGGACAUCAACCGGCGCACACAACUAACCUCGGGUGCCCGCCCUGCCCUGGCCUCCAUCCUGCCUACCUAUCCUCCACACGUUCCCCGACCCUAUCUACCUCAAUCCAUCCCCCAGCCACCCACACUACCCGCCUCUCCAUUCCCUUAGCUUGCUACUUCAGUAGUGGCUAGAUCCCCGCCCCGGGCUCGGGGCGGGGGCUGCAUGCCCCCGCCCCUCCCUUACUAGAUAGUUCAUGUCGUCGGCCCCCGUCAACCCGUCAACCCUUCAUCCCACCACGCCGCCAGCAGCGGCCCAUUCACAACCCCAUCAGCCCAUCCAUCCUUCGAUCGACCCUCAGCCCAGCAGCAUGCAGCCAUCAGCCCAGGAAGUGUGUGCCGGUCUUGGCGGUGGCGCUGCGGUCGCACAGCAGGGCCGGGUCGAUCUCAUGGCCACCCACGUUCUGUGAGAGGGGAGGGGAGGGGAGGGGUAGCGUGUGCGCGUGGUCUCGGGUUUACAAGCACACGGGAGGAGGAUCGCGUGGAUUACUGGUCAUGCAUGCUGUGUUUAGCUGAACGCACGUGUAUGUGCACGCGUGGUUGUCUGUACGUACGUACGCACGUUUACGUGUGUGUGCGUGUGUGCGCGUGUGCAUGCCCCGCCGGGGCCCCCCUCCCUCCUCCCAUGUUUGCCACAUCGCACGUGCCGCCUCGGCAGGCUCGCUACCACCUCGCUCGCCCGGGCUCAGGCUCACCACCUGGCCCAGCUUGUCCCGCUGCUCGGGCGGCAGCUCGUCCAGGCUGCCCGCGCCCUGGGUGGGUGGGUGGGGUUAGGUGGGGGGGAGGGGGGGAGGGUAGGGGAGGUGGGGGUGGAGGGGUAUGUGGGGUGGAGGGGCAGGUGGGGGGGGGGGCGGCAGGGGGGCGUGCGUGUGUGAGGUGGCGGGAGGCGGCGUGUGGCGUGCAAUGGGACAGGGUUGAGGCAGAGUUGGCGGCAUGUGGUGGGAGGUGGCGAAGAAGUGCGUGACGAUGGGCGGGGGAGGGAGUUCUUUUUGAAGUCCUCGCAAAGUAAACCAGGAGGGUUGCCAACCCGGAACGAACCGGUAGAGCUCGGGGGGCGCAGGGGGCGUGUGUGAAAUGGCGGGCGGGCGUGUGGUGGGAAGUGGCGGAGGAAUGCGUGAUGGGCGUUUCUGAACACACGCGUGCACACACGACCGCACAACCGCAAAAGCACGGCCGCCUGCCUGCCCUCGGUUCCCCCGCCCUACCUUGUAGUCGUGCGCGGGGUGGGCGUUGGUGCCCGUGACGGCCUUGUGGGGGGUGUGCAGGCUGGGCUUGCCGCUGCGCUUCUGCUCCAGAGCCGUCAGCUGAGCGAGGUAGGUGAUAAACGCAGAGGGAGGCGGACAUGCGGCAUGGCGUGCGGUGAAUUUUAUAGGGGAAGGGAGAGGAGGUGGGACUGGGUGGGACGUGAACAUCAAGCACACACGCUUUCACCCUGCUGGCGCCCCCUAUGUACCGUGUUUAUAGCAGCACGCACGGCCACGCCACGCCCUACCUCGUAUGGGUAGCCCUUGGACACCUUGUCACACUGCGAGCCGAGGGGAGGUGUGUGUGUGUGUGUGUGUGUGUGUGUGUGUGUGUGUGUGUGUGUGUGUGCGUGUUUUGGGGGGGCGAGAUGUCAAUCGAGGUUCAAUAGCUGGCAAGGAGCCGAGUCUCAGCAGCCAGAAUAGCCNNNNNNNNNNNNNNNNNNNNNNNNNNNNNNNNNNNNNNNNNNNNNNNNNNNNNNNNNNNNNNNNNNNNNNNNNNNNNNNNNNNNNNNNNNNNNNNNNNNNGCCCCGCUCCCCCGCUCGCUACCCUCCUCGCUCUCCUGCUCCGCCGCCGGUGCUGCAGCCGCUGCCGCUGGGACACUGCUGCGCCGCUGUGCGGCACGUGGGGGGGCCUCCUGCGCCGCUGCGUCAGUUCAUGUGUACAGUACGAUUGUGUUUGCUGUACCUCAGUUGACCGCAUGACCGCAUUAACUGUAUGUCUCACACACCAUGGUGACGUUGCCGGUCCACUCGCGGGUGCGGUUGCCCACCGACACGUGCUGCUCCGAGCGCGGCUUGCUGUGCAGCUGUGGAGCGGGCGAGUGUGGGGCGGGGGGGGGGGCGGCAGGGGGGCGUGCGUGUGUGAGGUGGCGGGAGGCGGCGUGUGGCGUGCAAUGGGACAGGGUUGAGGCAGAGUUGGCGGCAUGUGGUGGGAGGUGGCGAAGAAGUGCGUGACGAUGGGCGGGGGAGGGAGUUCUUUUUGAAGUCCUCGCAAAGUAAACCAGGAGGGUUGCCAACCCGGAACGAACCGGUAGAGCUCGGGGGGCGCAGGGGGCGUGUGUGAAAUGGCGGGCGGGCGUGUGGUGGGAAGUGGCGGAGGAAUGCGUGAUGGGCGUUUCUGAACACACGCGUGCACACACGACCGCACAACCGCAAAAGCACGGCCGCCUGCCUGCCCUCGGUUCCCCCGCCCUACCUUGUAGUCGUGCGCGGGGUGGGCGUUGGUGCCCGUGACGGCCUUGUGGGGGGUGUGCAGGCUGGGCUUGCCGCUGCGCUUCUGCUCCAGAGCCGUCAGCUGAGCGAGGUAGGUGAUAAACGCAGAGGGAGGCGGACAUGCGGCAUGGCGUGCGGUGAAUUUUAUAGGGGAAGGGAGAGGAGGUGGGACUGGGUGGGACGUGAACAUCAAGCACACACGCUUUCACCCUGCUGGCGCCCCCUAUGUACCGUGUUUAUAGCAGCACGCACGGCCACGCCACGCCCUACCUCGUAUGGGUAGCCCUUGGACACCUUGUCACACUGCGAGCCGAGGGGAGGUGUGUGUGUGUGUGUGUGUGUGUGUGUGUGUGUGUGUGUGUGUGUGUGUGCGUGUUUUGGGGGGGCGAGAUGUCAAUCGAGGUUCAAUAGCUGGCAAGGAGCCGAGUCUCAGCAGCCAGAAUAGCCACUUGGGAACGGAACACGCCACACGCACGCACACAAAUCCAAGGCGGAGUCUGCCCUCCAUCCCCCCCCCAACACACACACACACACACACACACACACACACACACACACACACACACACACACACACAACACACACGCACAUACACACGCACACACCUGGCACGGCGCGCAGCGGCACAUGUCGCACUCCACACCCGCCUGCGGGGUGCAUCGGCAGCGACAGCGGCAAUAAGAGGCGUGCCCGCUGGGUGGAUGCCGACGUAAACCUCCCCUCAAGGACGGAUUCCCCCCUCCUCUUCGCCCCCGCCCUCUCCCUCCCCCUCCUCCCCUCCUCCCCAAAUGGUUUCCCCUGCCGGCGCCCCCCCCUGCCUCCUCCUCCACUUUCAUUGGGCGCGGGCACAUGACCCCCCCCCCUGCCUCCUCCUUCCCUCUGCCUCCCUCCCUCCCUCGCUCCCUCCCCCUUAGUUCAGCUUGGUAUAAACAACCGCCUUCCCUGCCUCUCCCCCCCUCCUCCCUCCCUCCCUCCCUCCCUCCUCCUCCCCACUCACUCACCUGCUGGUUCUGGGCCUUGACGGUGCUGUAGGGCUCGGGGCCGCGCUCGCAGGUGGCGUAGCAGUCGCGCGCCUCCAGCGGCCGAGUGGCCAGACCCACCUUCUCCUCCGUGAAGUCCACACUGCGGAGUGAUAUAAUAAGGGGGGCGGGGGAGAGGGAGAGAAUUUGUGUGCGCGUGUGUGUCUGUGCGUAUGUGUAUGUGUGUGUGUGUGUGUGCAUCAUGUGUGUGUGUGUGUGUGUGUGUGUGUGUGUGUGUGUGUGUGAAGUAGAGCAACGCUAGACGUGGGUAAUUGGGUGCGUGUGGGGCGUGGGUGCAAAGAUUAGGUGUGGGAGAGGCGGGGAUUUCGGGGCAGCUGCUUUUGCCGGGACGGAAGUCAGGACUUCGGGCCAAGCCCGCCGUCUUGACGGCUCGUACGCUGCAAGCAAGUGCAACGCAAACGAAACACGAGCUGGCUCACGUCUUGCGUGUGUACUGCUGGUCGGGCGCGCCGCCGCCCGCGUCACUUCCGCCGCCGCCGCCGUAGCUGCCGUACUCCUUCUCCACCACCUGUGUGUGCGUGUGUGUGUGUGUGUGUGGGGGGGGGUGGGGGUACGUAGUUUAAUCCAAUCCCAAAGAAACCAAGAUCACAGACCAGAAGUGCGUGGGGGCCCCGGGCGAGGGGAGGGGGGAUGCAAGGUGGCGUGACAAUAAACGGGAGGAGGCUUGGGCGAUUUGGACCGAGGCCUUCCUUGCGCUGGUGGCGCUUGUAUGUGGCCUAGGCCGAGGUACGGCAUGUCGCAUCCAGUACAGGAGUUCCUUCUGCAUGCUGUCUAGUCUUGAGCCUUUGGUUAUAGGUGUCUUGAACCGCAUCCACACGACAGCCAGGACUGCAAACGCACACGCUCCCGUAUCUCUACCAACAUGCGUCAUCACCACCACCACCACUACCACCCCGCACCUUGUCGCGGCUGCCACGCACCACAGUGGUUCCGGCGGGCGCCAGCUCCGCACGGCCCAGUCGAGAGGACAGCUGCGGUGGGUGGGGGGGUGGGUUUGAAUGGGGGGAAGGGCAAGGGGGAGGGGGAAGGGGUGGCGAAGGAGGAGGGAAGGUUGGAGAGGGGGAAAGGGAGGGAAGGGUGGCAGGAGGGGCAAGCGCGACAAGCGCCCACCAAAAACGUCACAUGCCGGUAACUAACCCUCGCAUGGGUCGCCAUCGCCAGCUGUGUCACGCGAAUGCGGGUUCACGCAAAUGUGGGUUCUGUGCGCUUUGUGUGUCUGACCAAUGGCUGCUCCCCCAUAGGCGUGGCAGAACCAGCGAUGGCGGGGCGAGGCGCGCAAGACUUCAUAAGAUGGGCCACAUUCACACAUACACACACACUCUCCCGAGCCCCCACCCUCCCUCCCACCCACACACCCGCCCCCACCUGGUCCACCGCCUGUGUGUCGGCCAGGUGUUGGGCGGGCGUGGAGGCGGCGCCGUGGGCCACGUGACCCAGCAGCACGCCCGUGAACCCCAGGCGGCACCCCGCAGCAGCAGCCUGCUCCUCACCGCCGCCACCUCCACUGCCGCCACUGCGGCCGCCACUGUCGCCGCCGCCGCCUCCGCCGCCUCCGCCGCCGCCGCCGCCGCCGCCGCCGCCGCCGCCCGGCAUGAUGAGGCACGUGUCGCUGCCCGCCGGGUCCAGCACCACUGUCUCGCAGUUGUCGGGCGCCUCCAGCGCGCCGCCCUGUGGGGUGUGGGGUUUUGGGUGUGGGGUGUUGGGUGUGGGGUGUGGGGUGUGGGGUGUGGGGUGUGGGGUGUGGGGUGUGGGGUGUGGGGUGAGGCGUUGGGUGUGGGGCGUUGGGUGUGGGGCGUUGGGUGUGGGGUGUGGGGUGUGGGGUGUGGGGUGUGGGGCGUUGGGUGUGGGGCGUUGGGUGUGGGGUGUGGGGUGUGGGGUGUGGGGUGUGGGGUGUGGGGUGUGGGGUGUGGGGUGUGGGGUGUGGGGUGUGGGGUGUUGGGAGUUGGGUGUGGGGUGGGGUGUGGGGUGUGGGGGAACGGCGGGGAAGGCGCGGGCGCACAAGCGAAGUGUGGGGAUGGUGAUGGGUUGUGUUCGGUGUCUGUCAAAGCACGUAUGCAUGAUUGACGAAUGAGGCCCGCCGCUGAUGACUCACGGGGUUGGUGAGCACGGGCAUGUCGGCGGCUGUGACCGACCCAAUGGCCGCCGCCGGCAUGACAGCCGCCACCCCCGGCCGCCCGUACAGCUCAGCAUUGCGGGAGCCGUACUCGGCGGCGGCGGGGGCGGGCUGGCCGUGCCUGCGUGUGAGCGGCAGGGUAAGGGAGUACGUGUGUGCGUGUCUGUGUUGUUGGAUAAGUUUGGACACGUUUGGACAAGGGUUUUGACAGCCAUAACCCUGAACCCCGAAAUACCAACGCACGUAUUGCUUGGUACACACCCAUACUCCCUGAUCCCCGCCCCUAAAACCACAUACACACACACGCACACACACACACACACAAACAUACACACACGCACACACACACACAUACACACACGCGUGUCGGUACACACAACGCACCCGGUGGGGUCGGGCCGGUUGGGCACGCCCACCGCCGCCCCCAGGCCCGACACGCCCAUGCGUGCGGCGGCGGCGGCGCCGGUGCCGCCGCCGGCGGCGGGCGAGGCGGCGGUGGGCGCACCGGGCAGCGUGAGGGGCAGCUCGCGCGGGUGCGGCCGGUCGGGGUCCAGCAGGGCCUUCUCCACCAUGGCGGGGGCGGAGGGGUCCUGGAGGGGGAAGCGUGGCGUGGCGUGGCGUGGCGUGGCGUGGCGUGUGUUUUGGGGGUGGGUUGUGGGGGUUUGUGGGGUGCAGUGUGGGGUCGGGUACGUGGGGUCGGGGCAUGUGGGGUGUGGGGUGUGUGAAGGGGUGGACGGACGGACGGACUGCAGGGGGGGGCAGAGCGAGUGAGGAGUCGGCCACCCAGCGACGCGGGGUCGCUCGGGUGCUGCUGCCACAGCCAGCUGCUGCUGCACCCACCCACCCGCGAGUCAGACUCCAGCCAGGCUCAUCCCCACCUUCACCCCUCUCUCAUACCGUACAUGUCCCUCCCCCACCCCACACCGCCCCCCCCCCCCAGUUCCGCGGGGGUUGCAUCUACAACCCCAUCAACCCCACCCCACCACCACUACCAACCCCCACCCAACCACCCAGCUGCCCACUUGCUGCCCGCCCUCACCUUUGCUGAGCAGGUGACGGUGACGCAGCCGCGCUGGUAGGCGGCCCGGGCAUCACCCGUGUAGGCCGUGGGGGGCAGGUCAAGGCGCCUGUGUGUGGGGGGGGGGGAGGAGGGGGGGAGGGGCAGGAGGGGCAGGAGGGGCAGGAGGGGCAGGAGGGGAGGAGCAGGGGGGAGGAGGAGGUAGGGGGGGAGCAAUUGGUGUUGCAAGGGGAUGCGAAGGGCGCGGGUUCGUUCGGGUUCGGGGUAAUGCGCACAGACGUGCAAGGGAGAUUAAGGCCGUAUGGCAGGGGGUGUUGUGGGACGCAGCCCGGAAGCCCCCAGCGUGAACCCCACACGCACAUACCGUCGCGCCCCCCGCCCCCCACUUGACCCCCCCCCCCCGCUCUGUCGCAAUGGUUCUGGUUUAGUUUGGGCUGGUAUCUACACCCCCCCCCCCACACACACACACACAUACGUGAGUUGGGCGAUGACUCCUUAACUGUUGUGACCUACUUCGCUGGGCUCGGGCACAUACCCGCCCCCUCCCCCCCCCCCCGCGCCCCCCGUACGUGCACGAGAUUGCACCCAUGCACACCCACGCACACCCAUGCACGCCACUCACUCGACCUGCUUGCCGGCCAGGUGGAUGAGCAGCCGCCCGUCAUGCACACCUUGACCUGCGUGCAGGGAGGAGGGAAGGCGGGGCCGUGUAUUGAUGCGGUAUAUGUGUGCGCGUGUGUUGGGACUUCACGCGGGACGUUAGCGGGAAUGGCUGCGGAACGCAGCUCUGCAACUGGCCUGUCCUCCCACGCCCACCCCGCCCGCCGACAUGCCACCUGUCGCGCACUACCAUAUCUGCUCAUAGGCUUCAACAGUAAUAAACAUAUAAUGCAUUCAUGCCAUGGUUGCCGAAGCUCCGCGUUACAGUGCCCCCUCCCCGUCUGCCCCCUGCUUCCCCACGCACUACUCGCGCCUUGGCUUUCACAACGCAGUGCCGACCGUCCCCCAUGCCACCCCACGUCCCCACCCCCCCGGUCCCCCACGCACCCCACGUCCCCCACGUCCCCACGCACCCCACCCGCACCACCGCCCACCUGCGCCGCCGGGUCGGUCACCCCCACCAGCUGGCAGCGCCACUCGUGCUGCCGGGUGCUCUCAUGCAGCUGGUAGUGGCAGCCGCGGGAGCUGGGGCCGCCGCCGCUGGCGUCGCCGCCAUCGCCGGUGCCUCCGCUGCCGCUGCCGCGGCCGCCGGCGAGGCGCGAGGCCGCCAGCGCGAGGUUGUUGGUGUUGGUGUGCGUGUCGGUGCUAGCCAUUAUUGCUCUCUGCUACGCGCCGAGUGUCGAGUGUCGCGCUGCGCUUUGUUUGUUCUUCUUGGGGCUGGCUGCUUGGGGGUCGGUGCUGUCUUCAGCUGUGGUGUUCGCGCGUGGCGGCGUUGAUGAAACGCUACAAUUUCUUUCUUUCAGUGUAGAGAGGGAUGCUAGGUGACUGGAAGCAAUGGCUUUGGAAAGGCGGGUGUUUUGGAAACGCGAGGAAAGUGGAAGGCCGGGCCGCGGGUUAGGUGCGAACGGAGGGAUUGGGUAGGGACAGGCGUGACUCACCCACCCGGCUGACCAUCCCAAAACCCGAUACAGUUUUCAGCCGUAUUAAGGUAAUAAGUAGGAGGCGUCUGAACGCGUGUGCUCCAGGGGGUAUAUGGAGAAUGCGCGAACCCACCCGCCCGUAGGUCCCCACGCCCCUGCCCUCCCCCUUGCUACAGCCAAUCACGCUCACAGGCCAGGUAGCCGCUCCUGCUUUCCCUUUGUCCCCUUAGUCCCCGCGCCCCCAAGAACUCACCACAACAACCAUGUGAAUGCCAGCAAAGCACAACUGUACAUCUUUAGCCGGGUUCGACGUCCUGCAUCUGCGUGCUAGCUACUGCCGUGCGUGCCCGUGCUUUCCCUUUUUGUGGCCUCUCGGGUUGCGGGUCCGGCUGCCUCGCUCCCUGCAACUGUCGCCAUAUCGCGCGGAUGUGAAUUGGCUGCUCCGCUGGCUCCUGCGGCGCUGGCGCAACGCCAACUUAUGUCGCACUCGGGUCCAUGGGUCUCGAGCAAGCUCGACCCCGACUUCGCCGCGCUAAGGCGCAUCCGUAACUCGCGAGGUGCGGUUCAGAUGGCAGAUGUUGCAGCGAAAGCGAAGAGUCAGUCGACCAGUCCGCAAGCGAACGCCCGAUUCCUCGCCGGAUCCGCGGGCGCAACCACUGGAGAAGUCUCCAGCGGCGCAUACAAACAUAGCGAGCGCUUCAUAGCUGCACAACACACUGCAAGACUCCUAUUGGGGUCCCCAAAAAGCUGCCUGCCCUUUCCUGAGGUUUCUGUCGUGAGCGAGAGCGACAAAUGGGCCGCCCCUUCAAGCAAUACCUGAGCGGGCCUCGUGUCUACAGCUGUGCCAAUUGCAGGGCGCACGCGGCGGACCACGAGGACAUCAUCAGCAGUAAGCAAAAGAACCCUUGCCCGCGCCCUUCAUGGUUCCUCGGCUGACCUCGCUGCUUCGCUCCGCCCACGCUUGCAGAGGCCUUUCAGGGCCGUCAUGGCCGUGCUUACCUCGUGAAUUCGGCCAUCAAUGUCACCGUGGGGCCGAAGGAAGAGCGGGUGCUCAUAACCGGGCUGCACACUGUCGCCGAUAUCUCGUGCUCCUCGUGCGGCAGCGUUCUGGGCUGGCGCUAUGGUAAGAUUUUAGUACCGUGUGAGUUUAUGUGGGUAGCAGUGGGUCUGCGGCGUCGUCGCCUGACUCUCGGACGCUGCUGACGCACAGCGAACGCUCCACUUGCCCCUGCA